UCGAUGUUUAGUUGAGAUUUAACUCUUUUCUUUCCUCCCUGUCCCUCGUCCACAAUCAGUAGAGUUAGCGGAUAAUUUAUUUAUUGCUUUUGUAUAUACCCAGAUAUGAAAGCAUAAAAAGUUUGAAUGAUUGAUGUUAAAUGUUAUGUCGAUCGUCUUUUGUGCAUUUCCCCCGCCCAUUGUAAAACGUCAAAUUUCGAGCUAUCCUUUUAAUUUGGUAACUUGUACAGACGGUGUUUCAACAACCAUUGUACACGAUUCUGACCAGUUGAAAUGCAAUGCAGUAUAAUUGAUUGACUGAUAGCAACAAGUAUCAUAGAGCAGUUAAUAUAUGCAUAGGAAAGUAAAAUUUUGUUCUGUCCGAUCCAAAAAGGGUGCGACAAAAGGGUUUCCGUCUUCCGUAAAAAAGUUGAAUAAUAGUGAAAUAAAAUAUUUCUGUCCGAUUAAAAAAAAUCUCGUCGUCCAUCCAAAAAAAAAGCGUGAACAUUAUUUCUGUCCGAUUCAAAAAAAAAAGUUGCGAAAAAAUGUUUUCCGUUUCUCUUUCUCUAUCUCUAUCUCUAUCUCUUCUGUACUCUCUACUACUUAAAAAAGAAGAGGUGCUUCCAUCGUCCGUAAAAAAAACCGGGUGAAAAAAAACCAAGCAGAAAAAACUAGGUUUGUCCGAUAAAAAACUAGACGAAAAAAAGAAGUUCGAUCCAGAAAAAAAAGGGCGAAAAAAAAACCUGGGGAAAAAAACCAGGUUUGUCUGAUAAAAAACCGGGGAAAAAAAAAGUGCAAACCAAAUCGAAUCCGAUUCCAUCGACACGGUAAAAGAAAAAUCGGGAAAAAAAUGUAUCUGUCCGAUUCCAAAAAAAAUGAAACAAACUCCCAUCCGUUUCUGUUUGGGCUGAUUAGGACUUUGUUUCUGUUUGGGCCGAAUAGGACUUGGUUUGAAUUAUACCAAGUCCUAUUCAGUAAGCAUCACCAGGAGAACAAGUGCAUAUCUAUCUACUACUUCUACUACUACUUAAAAAAUAAGAGAUGUUUUCUUCGUCCGUCACAAAUAAAAAAUAGCGAAAAAAAUAAAAAAAGAAAUCCGAUUCCCCUUAUAAAAAGGAAAAACAAAAAAAAAAUCAGAGAAAAAGUAGCGAAAAGACAAAAAAAACCGUAGUCCGAUUCCCCUAAUAAAAAGGGAAAAAAAGUUGUUUCCUUCGUCCGUCACAAAUAAAAAAAUAGCGAAAAAAACUAAAAAAAAAGAAGUCUGAUUCCCCUUAAAAAGGAAAAACAAAAAAAAUCAUAGAAAAAAUAGCGAAAAAAAAGCAUAGUCCGAUUCACCUAAAAAUGGUGAAAAACAAAACAAAAAAGUCAGAUUCGAAAAACAGAAAAAGUGGCGAAAAAUUUUUAUCAUCAAACAUCCAGUCUCCAAAAUUUUUAUCCUCUUGUAUCAUGGGCCAAGAAUCGAUGUUUAGUUGAGAUUCGACUCUUUUCUUUCCUCCCUGUCCCUCGUCCACAAUCAGUAGAGUUACCGGAUAAUUUAUUUAUUGCUUUUGUAUAUACCCAGAUAAGAAAGCAUAAAAAGUUUGAAUGAUUGAUGUUAAAUGUUAUGUCGAUCGUCUUUUGUGCAUUUCCCCCGCCCAUUGUAAAACGUCAAAUUUCGAGCUAUCCUUUUAAUUUGGUAACCAUUGUACACGAUUCUGACCAGUUGAAAUGCAAUGCAGUAUAAUUGAUUGACUGAUAGCAACAAGUAUCAUAGAGCAGUUAAUAUAUGCCGAGGAAAGUAGAAUCGGCUAAAGACUGUUGGGACCAAAGAGCAUAAAAGGCUGUGAGUGUCUACAACAGAGAUACAUGGGUACGAUGACACUUUCAUGACCAUGCUGUAAUCUCCUGUAGACCGACCGGUCCACGAAAGGAUUAGGAUGCAUCAGGAAUGAACAUUCCACUAUCUGCACUUUCCAUUCGGACUCACGGCUUCGUUAAUUUGCUUCAGACAUCUCUUCCGGUUUGAGUUUAUCCCAGAUGGUGAGGUGAACAACCAUGUUACUGUGUCCCACGCAGUGCAAAAUAAAGAUGGUAAUUUGGACCCCUUUUAGUUUAAUUCGAAAAUUCGUGUACCUGUUUCCCUCCGCUUGUGUUUCAGUUCAAAAUUGUCCAUCUAUAUUCAUUGUCAAACAGUUCAUAAAUGUGUGGUGAGACAUAAGCAACCAGUUGCAGUGUGAACAUCCUACGAGUAGGACCAGGGUCAGAAGACUCAAAGGGGAAGGCCAUAAACUGUAUCAUAGAAGCAGAGACCCAGGCACAGAGGGGUGAUGAAGUCUGAAUAUAUUACAACCAUUUUAGUCUGAAUGAAAGUCUGACCAAAAUAAUACAUUAUGAGACAACAAAAGUUAUGAAAGCAAAAGAUAUAGCCUUAGAUGUCACCCCUUUUGCUUAUUAAUAUAGGCGUGAGAUAAGUAUAUGUAUAAUUCCAUUGGCUGUUUAUAUCCUUCGUGGAUAUAGAGAUCGGAUUAAUGAAAAUCCAUUAUCUAAAAAAAGUAUAUGUAUUUUCACGAAGGACUGCUCGUGUAUAUAUAAGGCCAUGCUCAACUGUUAUAUAUAAGCCUGGUUUGUGUUCCCAUAUAUAGUUCAUGCUAACAAAUUUGUGUUCCCAUAUAGUUCAUGCUAACAAAUAACUGAUCUAUUCUAUUUUUUUUCUUAUCCUCUCUCAUACUAAGAGUUGAUGUUUGAUGGAAAGUCCACUCUUCUCUCUUCAUUAUCUCUAUCAUCCAUAUCAGCUUAGACUUAUGGGCCAGCUUAUUUAUUGAUAUUGUACGUACCCUAAAAUAAAGUGUCAAAGAAUAUAGACGGUUGGUAUAAAAAAUUUACGUCGGAUGUUGUGUACACUUGCACCCCCCCCCAGGAAACAUGACCACUAGUACACAAAAGAUUUUUCCGUGUGGUCAAAAUGCAUUUUUCCGUGCGGAGGUCCCACCCGUCUGCUCCCAGGUGUGUGCGAAAAUCCAUAUUUUCGCGUGCGGGCGACCCAACUGCAUGGGAUAAUCCAUCUUCUCGUGCGGUUGGGUUAAGUGGACUGCACGGGAUAAUCGAUUAUCCUGUGCGGUCAAAUUAUAAUGCCUGCACGCAAAACAAAACGAAAAAAAAUAAAAAACAUCAAAAACCCUAACCAUAUCCCUAGAAUGGCCUGCCGCGCCGCUCGUGGUCGCCAUUGUCCUCAUGUCGUCGCCGUGAUCGCGCCGCCACCGCUCCCGAGUCCGCCACCGCUACUGCCCGCCGCCGUCGCCGUUCCCGGGCACCUUUUCCUCCUCAUCGUCGGCACAGCGCGGAUCCAGCCACUUGCCCACCGUGCCACCCCCCGAGUUGCUUGUAGCCGCCGCGCCGUCUCUGCCAACAGUUGUCGUGCCGCCCGCUCCCGGCUGCCGCCUUGUCGGCAGCGGCGGCGGCAGCCGGACGCCUCCCACGCCCCGUGUGCUCGGUGGGGAGGGGAGGAGCUAGAGGAGAGCAGAGGAAAGGCACAUAGAGGAAAGAGAGAAAGAGGAGUGAUUGAGAGAGAAUAAAAAGGAAAAGGAAGAGAGAAGAUGAAAUAUUUGAAGUGGGUGAGAGGGAAAAGAGGGAGAUAAAUUUUCGCGUGCGGUCCACUUAAGAGGCCCGCACGCGAACAUAUGCUUAUUUUUGCGUGCAGACCGUUAAGAGACCUGCCUGCGAAAAUCGAUUUUUGUGUGUGGAUCUUUUAAAGGUCCGCAUGCGAAAAUAGAAGUUUAAUUUUUGCAGAUGCAUGCGAAAACAGUCCGUCUAGGAAAAUGGAAGCUCCUUGUACAGGAAAAUGUUUUGUUUACUAGUGGAAAUUUUGAGUUUUGUUUUAAAUUUGGUGAGUUGUUUUACGGACGGUAGCAGUACCAUUGUACGUCAUAUUUACUGACUGCUAGCAACUACAAUCAUGGAGCAGCUAAUAUAUACACAUACACUUGGAAUUAGAAGCAUCUCAAGAGUGUAGGACGAUCAUAAAAAGCUGUGAGCAUCGUCUGCAUGGAUACAAGUACAAGGAUAUACCAUGACAAUUUCAUCAUCGAGUUGAAAUCUCUUGUAGACGAUAUAGGAUUAGGAUGCAUGGGGAAUGAGCCUUCGACUAUCCACCCUGCCCAUCCGUACUAACAGCUUCAGUAAUUUCCUUUAUUGGCUCUAAGUCCCUGUUUUAGCUUUUAUUUGAGAGUGAAGUCAACAACCAUGUUGUUUUUUCCCACGCAGUGUGCAAAGUUGGAAUGGUGAUUUUGUAUCGAUUUGUUUUCUGGUUGGAGCAAUGGAAAUAAAACUAGUGACACCAAAAUUAUUAGUACAAAUUUUGUACCUUAUAGUACUAGAGGUACCAAGAGAUACUAAGUUUUACACUAGAAAAAGAAAAUAUGGUAUUUCCUAAAUGACUGCAAAAUCAGUUAAAUUAGAUACAACAUGAGGCCGAUGGAAAGAGGGAUAAAGUUAAUUAUAUAUGGGCAAGCCAAUUAAUUAACUUGGGCUCUUAAGGUUUUGAUGAGGAGCCAAUGUUAAGAAUGUUGCAAAUGCUUGUAAUCUUGUAAGCAUUGUCAUGUCUAAUUGUUGCAUCAGUUUGGUAGUAGCUUUGGACUCCCAUCAUGCACAUAGUGGCUGCAAAAUAGCAGAACAUGUGGUUUCCGUCAUCGGUUUUCUCUCAUUUAUUUCACUAGGGAAGAUUGAAGCGGAAUCGGAUCGUGGGAGGACACAGUCAGUAGUUGUUUGUUCCUAUAAAAUCGUGCAUGUAACAACCUCCUAUACAGAGAUGAAUAAAAGGAAGAAAUUAAAUCUCUGGAAAGCUGGAAACAAUCCGUAACACCAACUGUCUCUUUGGUUCUGUUCUUUGGUGUCUUUUCUCUGAUGUUUUUUUUUUUUUGAAAGGUUCAGACUUAGCUAGAUAGCGUGUGAGCGCGAGAUCCUGAGAAUUUCAAUAUAAUUUGAGUCCUAAUUUUAAUCGGGUGGCCUCUUAUUAGCAGUAUUGUGUUACCAAAAGAGAUUAGAACAAGAGGCAGAUUAUUCGCUUAUUAUGCUUAUACUUAUCAUCGAAAAUUUGAUUUUUAACUUUAAAUUUGAAGUUGAUUUUGAGGAUUUUUUUCAUCGAAGUUUAUUUUCCAGCUUUUAGAUUGCUAAGAGAACACGUAUAUAAAAAUUUUAUUUACAAAUUAUUUUCAGUUUGCAAAUAUAUCAUUUGGCUUAUUUCGCGAAUAAGCGAAACAAUGAGUCCUUAGUGUAUAUAUUAAUUAUAUUUCAUUGUUUCCAGAUGUAGGUUGAAUUACGAAUCAAACCAUUUAAUCUUCCAAACAAAAGAAUACUCUGAUUAUUUCGCAACCUCACUAUAUGCAGCAAGAGAGGCAGAUAGACAAGUGGCUAAUGCUUUGGGGUAACCCGGGUAAUAGCGGACUCCAUCGCUGCCGUUGGGGAUGAACUAGUUGUAGACCGCCGGUAAGCGCACGCCAAGGCCUCCAUGUCCCCUCCCACGGCCAGGAAACACCAAUGUUUGCAGCUGGAAAUCUAGCCCAGCCAGUGGCAAAAUCCAGCUGGAGCUGUUUGGUUGGAUUUGUGGUUAUCUAGCAAGUAGUUGAACAUUUUCGAAUCCCAACUCUGUAGCUUUUGAUGCCAUAUGUAGUUCUACUUACAUAGAUAUAUAAGGUAACAAAUUUGUAAACAAACAAAAAAUAUGUUGAUAUUUAUUUGCUUGGCUUGUAUAUGCGUCCAAUUCAACAAACAAGAAACUUUGCUGACAAGAAAUGAUCAGGCAGUAAAUUCGGAAUAAAUUGGCAAAUUUUGCUACAGGACAUCCCGACUUCGUGGUUUUAGCUGUAGGACACCGCACAAAGUCACUUUUGGGGAAAGACACUAUCAAAAUAUGGUUAUUUGCCAGGGGACACCGCAGCCAAUAAAAUAUUAAUUUCUGGUUCAAUAGGAGAGAUAAACAAUGUAAAAGGUCAAAAAUGCCCUCGGGCCCGCUUGUCAUAUUCUUCCCCCACCCCAAACCUCCCUCCUUGCCUCCUCUACCUCCACCGGCGAUGACGUCCUCACCCCACCCACGGCCACGAGCAACGAGCUCGGCGCUGGGAUGGGCGGCCAACUCGGCGCAGGGGGAGGCGACGCACACCGACAGCGCCCACGGCGGCGGCCUCGCCAGAGCUCCGCCACGAAUCGAACUCGCUGGGUUGAGAUGAAGAAGCGGAAGAGGUGCGGCGGUGGCACCUCCGCCGCCUUCGACCGGAGCGUCUUCCCCAUCCUGCUCGCCGCCAUCGCAGCCGGACGGCGCUAACCCGCGACCCCAAGCAGCCUCCGCCACCGCCCGUCGCCAUCCCGCCGUCCCAAGCUGCGUCCGCCCCCGGUUGUCCAACGCCCUCCUCGGCGCCGUCCGCCGCUGGCGCAUCACGCGACGCCCUCGUCGGCGCCGCCUGUCCCCGUGCGCCGCCGCCCACGCCCAUCCCCACGCGCCGCCGUCUUCCGCGUGUACCCGCAUGCCGCCGCCCAUCGCCCACGCGCCGCCGCCCACGCCCGUCCCCACCCGUCGCUGCACCGCCGCGCCCAUCGCCCACGCGCCGCCGCCCAUGCCCGUCCCCACGCGCCGUUGCAACGCCUCAGUAGCGGCCUCGCUAUUAAAGGAGGAAGAGAGAGGAAGAGAAAGAGAGAGGAGGGCAAUUUGGUCAUGCCAUGUAAAAAAGUAGGCCCCUUGUCGCUUAGUCAGCACAAAAAUAUUAAUUUAAUGAAUGGAGUGUCCCCUGGCAAAUAACCAUAUUUUGAGAGUGUCUUUCCCCAAAAGUGACUUUGUGCGGUGUCCUACAGCUAAAACCACAAAGUCGCGAUGUCCUGUAGCAAAAUUUGCCUUUAUAGUAAUGCGAUUGCAACACUUGAUUGACUCUUAAAAAAGAGAGAAAUGGAAACUCUUUUUCCGUGGAGUACUUCACCCGAUCCUUUUUUAGGACACUAAUGCCUCACUAACAUGUGGACCUAGCGAUGCAAGCAGGGCUAGCAAGUGGGCUUUUUUAGCCCCCUUAUUUCACUUCUAGUUCAUUUUUUCUUCUAAAUUUUGUACUACCAUAUGAGAAAUUAACUAGCAAGUGGGUUUUUAUGCAGGUACGUAGCGGUACUACCUACUUGCAUCCCUAUGUGGGCCCCAUAUGUGCGUUAUGCACUUGCUUGAGCAUAUAAAUUUCUGAAACAGAAUUUUCAUAUGGCUUUGACUACUUUCAGUUAGUGUGUGUUGGUAAUAUCUCAUAACGAUAGUAGUCCAUGUCAGCUCCCUGGACAAUUGUUGUCUUAGACUCUUACCAUCAAAAACUGAAGUUGAUUACUGUUUUGGCGUACAUUGAAUUUACAAGUUAGGGGUCGCCACCAAACCGUCAUCACAUCUUAUGAUAUACUCCCAACGGAGCAACUAAAGUCUUACAUAGUGAAGCUCACAUUAAAGACAUACAAGGAACUUAAAGGUGUCCAUGUCCAUAUAUAUGGACAUCACAGUGUAAACAUGUAGCCAUCCUAUGUUCAGAACACAUUCAGUUGUCUCACAUACAACAACUAGAACCAACUGGAGAGCAAGUUGUUUUUGUGAGCUCAUAGGCUUAGGAGACACCGGGAACCGAGCUUACGCAUAUCUUAGGCCUCUCACAGUGCUCCUAGCUGGAGCGUUCCUUAGUAGUGCCACGGAGGAAAAGUGUCGACGUGGAGUGGACGACCGCGUCCUAGCUAGGUUUCUCGCCUCCUAGUUGAGCGACGCGAAACUUCGUUCUGGCGAGGGCUCGAGCGGACGGGGAAAAGCGAGGCACGCGCGCUGUGGGCAACGUUUCUUCGCUGCCCUGUGCCCUCGCGCGCCUGUGGAGGGGUAAAUCCCCAAAUCACCCUCCAAAAUCCCCACGACAUCAGACAUAUCAGACAUGCUAGCAAUUUUAGAUCAAAAAAACAUCCAUCUCCGAAAGAACAAUCAAGAACAGAAACAGAUUGAAUCACAAUUAUUCUUCAUUAAAAUCUGAGAAAGAGAACACAAAAUCCUUUGGUAGAGGAAAGGAAGAAAACCACCACAGAUGUAGACCAAACAAACAAAAUUUCUCGAGUAAUUUGGUAGAGAAAAGAAAGGGGAAAUCGGCGAGGAGGAGAAGCCGUCCGCUCCCGCCGCCGGCCGCCGUCGGCUUCGAGCCAUUCACUCCCGCCGACCCCGGCCAGAUCCAACGUGAAGCCGCGGAAGCCGCCGACGACGACAAGAAGAAGCAGGCGCAGGUCAAGCCCCCGCCGCACCUGCACCCGCACCUCCUCCGUGCCGCCGCCGGCGGCCCGGCCCACCCGCUCCUCCUCCUCGCGGCGGCGGCGGCUGCUCGAGGUGGAGGCGUCCCUCGGUGAGGUCGCCGCGGUGGAGCCGCCUGAGCAGCAGCAGCCGGAGAAGGAGGCGCGGCGAGGGAGGCGACGAGGACGACGGGAGGCGAGGAGGACGCCAGAGCUGCAGCCUUUCCCCUCCUCCUCCGCCGCCCCCGCCUCUCCCACCGUCGGGAAAGGCGUGGCGGUGGACCGGGAGGAGGCGCAGCGGCGGACCGGCGCGGUGGCGGACCGGCGCGGCGGCGGACCGGGAGGGGAGCGGCGUGGGAGGCGAGGAGGCGAGGAGCGGUGUGGGAGGCGAGGAGACGCCGGGAGGGGAGCGGCGUGAGAGGCGAGGAGACGGGAGCAGGGGUUUUCCUUCACUCACCCGUGUCUUUAAAACUGGGUCACGAGCGUUGUGGGGUUUGUUCCCUUACAGUACCUCCAUCCAAUUAGGUCACGUAAAAUAGGAUACUUGCACUGUAGGAAUGAGUGUCUUUAGAGCCUUUUUUCGAACUAAGCUACGGGGACCGGUGCUUGCACUGUGAAUGGCCUUAAGUGGGUGCCAGGUGCUAUUGCUUCUUUCUCUACCGAUGAGUGCUGAUCCACGACGGUUGUGUGUCACACCUUUUCUUUUUUUUUUUUUUGAACUAGGGCUUGAAAGCCCCCAUUUCUAUUAUCAGAAAUGCAACAGUAGAAGUCUGCUAACUGCUAAGACAAAAGAGGAAGAAAAAAAGAAAUUACAGCACGCAGGCUGUGAAGUUUUUUACAGACCAUAGCACUGUGAUUCAUAAACAAAAUGAGAGGAGCUCCCACACCCUCAACCCAGAUCUGGUGAUACCUUCCUAAGAGACUGCUAACUAUAUAUGAGAGCUUAUACUAUACCAAGCAGGAAACAAAAGAUCACAGGGAUGAUUCUCCAGCAGCAUCACGCAUCAGUUGGUUGUGUGUCACACUGGCAUUGCCAUCGGAUAUACUCCCUCCAUCCCUAAAUGUUUGACGCCGUUGACUUUUUUAAACAUGUUUGACUGUUCGUCUUAUUCAAUAAACUUAAGUAAUUAUCAAUUAUUUUCUUAUCAUUUGAUUUAUUGUUAAAUAUACUUUUGUGUAUACAUAUAGUUUUACAUAUUUCACAAAAGUUUUUGAAUAAGACGAACGGUCAAACAUGUUUAAAAAAGUCAACGGCGUCAAACAUUUAGGGAAGGAGGGACACCUUGUCAACAAGAUAUACAGGCACAACGGCCUUAGCCGCACAUGGAAACUCCUCCUUAUCAUUUUGGCAUUAGGCCAUUCUUGGCUGAGUUCGUUUGGAGGAGAUGGUAACCAAUCUCCUACGCACGGAAAACAGAGCAAUCCAUUAGCAUGUAAUUAAUUAAUUAUUAGCUAAUUUCUUUUUCAAAAAUGGAUCAAUAUGGUUCUUUUAACAAACUUUCUUAUAGAAACAUUUUAUAAAGCGUGCGCAUGAAAGACGAGCGAGAGGAGUUGGGAACAUGUGGUGCUGAACACAGCCUUAGGCUAUCCAAUUAAAGGUUUUAGGCUAUCCAAUUAAAGGUUUGUAGAAAAAGGGUUAGUAGUUGGUAAUAUAAAAAUAACCUUGCUAGUAUAGGGUAGCAAGAAACCCACCUUUGGUCGCAUAUACAAUUAAAUGUCACUCUUAUGUUGCUCGGAGUUUAUUUAAGAUUUCAUUUUCUUUUAGCUUGUUUGGAAUGCAUGGAGCGUGCAAUGAAAACCAAUAUAUGUAUGGAUCGAACAAGUACUAACCUGAUCAAGUUUGGAUUUGGUCGCCGGCAUGGGCUUCCUCAGCUUCCUCCGGCACAGUGACGGCCUGCGCCAGCAGCGAGCAACGGCGAUGUCCGGGGUGGGGGUAGGUUGUGAGGGGGAGCAUUUUAGUUAUUACGGACCUCGGGUGCAGUUAUUAGGAGACUUAAACAGACUGUACCUGUUUCAACAACCAUUAUUGUACAUGAACCCUAAUCAACUAGUUGAAAUUCAAUGCAGCAUACUUGUACAUCGCGAGUAACUAGCAUCAUGGAGCAGUUAAUUAGUUACACUGGAAAUUAAUUAGAAUCAGCUAAUUAAACUUCUUAAAACUAUAUAUAGGACUAAAGAGCAUGAAAUUAAAGUAGUGGUAUAGGUACAAGAACACGUUCAUGAUCCUCCCGAAAUCUUUUUGUAGACCGACGUCCUGUCUACAGUACGUAGGAUUAGGAUGCGUCGGGAAUGAACCUCCCACCUUCUGCAUUUUCCAUUCAGACUCACUACUUUGCUUCGAAACUGUCUGUAUCUGUUUCAAUUUAUCACAGUGAGUGGACUGAACGAUCAGGCUGAGUACGACGACCAUGCAGUGUGCAAAGCAAGUCUAGUGAACUUGUAUUUUGAUUUGUUUGAUUGCUGGAGCUAUGUAAAUGAAACUAUACCAGAUACACGUACAUCAACAUGAUGGAGCCAGGGAUGUAGUUAUGGGCAAACCGGCCAAUUAAUUAUAGUUUGGGUUCUGAAGGUUUUGAUUAUGACUCAAUGUUGAGAAUCAGUAUAAUUUGAGUUACCAUUUUAAUCUGGUGGUCUAUUAUUAUUUGUAGUUUUAGGAUCAAAACAAAACAAUCAAGCCUACCGGAGGGGUAAGGGUAGGAAUACCAAAAACCAAAACUUUUAGGGGAAUUAAAAGUUACUCUGAAAUUCGAUGAAGUAUGUGACGAAGUCCGAUGUGAUCGCCAGAUGUACACUUGUUAGACUGCUGGUCUGACCGGGGCGAUAUCGUUGGUCCAACUGUCCUCUGAGCAACUAUUGUCUGAAGCCACCGCCAGUCUGACCGUCGCUACCUCGCCAAUCUGACCGCUGAGAUCAGGAGAAACAUCGAUUGAAGAACUCAUAAAAAUAAAUCAUCUUUAUUACUUCUAAUUAUGUUUACAAAACACAACAAUUACACUUGUCUCUCAACUUUUGACGAAACUCGAAAUCUAGGCUAAACCUAAACUUUUCUCUCAACUAAUAAUCUCACAAAAUCUAUACCUAGAGGCAUCAACCACUCUUUUAUUUAUACCCUGAUGUGGUUGUACAAAAACCACAAAUCCACUUUGUAGAAAAAGUCAUAAUUUAGUAGGAAACCUACCCAUACAAGUAAUCCACCUGAUCAAACUCCAAUCGUCCUAAAUUUAUACUACUUCUAAAUUCGACUUCGCAUCCCAAACACACAAAACUCAUUUUUUAUAUUGCAUGAAAUCUUCGCUACUAUGUGCACUAUCAUUUAUCCUAAGCGUCCCGCGUGAUCUAGUGAUCAUCUGGACAUCAACUUCUUCCAAGUUGACUCCUGACCCGUCACUGGCAAUACUCUCUUGACACAUCAAGGCACACUAACACAUAAAUAAAUAAGAAACCAAAUCCGAGCACAAAUUAUUCCACAACUUGACUCAACAUUAGUAUACAACAAUAUUAAAUAUAUAGUAAUAGUCUAGAGUCAUAAACAUAAAGUAAUCACGAGUAUACAAACAAACCAAUCCGAAACUAACUCCAAUAAAGUGCUAGGCAGUUAGACCGUCGGGCCGGUCGGCCUAAUUGCCUCAACACCACUGGUUUGACAAGCCCACCUUGCGCGGUCUGACCGGCUCCACACAAUGGAAAACAUGUUCAUCGUACUACCACUAUUCAACGUUGUUCCCACACUACUACAGAAACGAUUUUCCUAUGCGAGCCCCUCGUUAGAUUCCAGACAUUCGAUAACUGACCGCGUCUGAAAAAAUCAUCCUACCAUUUUUGCGUGCGGACCCUUAAGAGAACCACACGCACAAAUCAAUUUUUGCGCAUGGGCCUCUUAAGGGUCCGCACGCAAAAACAAGUGUAUUUUCACGUACGGGCAUCUUAAGAGCAUAGCACGCGAAAAUACCCUCCCUCCUCAGGCAAUUUUUCUCUCUCAACCACUUCAAAAAUUUAUAUCUUAUCCUCUCCACCUACCGAUCCUUAUCCUCAUUAUUCCCUUUCUUCUCUCUCUCGUCUAUCGUCUCUCACGGGCAGCGUGUGGGCUUGGUGGCUGACAGGUGGCAGCCAGGAGCGGCGGCGACCCUCGCCCGCCCGGAUCUGGAGGACGCGCCCCUCUCCCGCCGGCUGGAUCCAGCGGUUGGCGGUGGCGACGUGGCCGGGAGCGGCGGUGAGCUUGGGAGAGGUGACGGGCUUGUGAGCCAGCUGCGGCGGCCGGUCGCGGCAGAAGGCGGCGACGCCGCCACCGACGACGACGAUGGUGGCGCACGUCGACAACGACGGCGACGGCGAGGAGGGUGGCGGUGGGCGGUAGCUAGGGUUAGGGUUUGGAUUUUUUUUUUGGGUUUUUUUUCCAUGUGGGCGACAUAACCCAACCGCACGCGAAAAUCAUUUUCGCGUGGCACAAAAAAAUUGGAUUUUUGCAGACACUUAGGUGCAGACAGGGGUGAGAUCCGCACGCAACAACCCUUUUCGACCGCACGAAAAAAAUCGUUUUCUUAGUAGUACCAGUCUAACCUUUACGCAAAACCCUGCCCAAUAUAGAGGCAACCACUUAGCCAAUAAAUUACCAAAUAGACAAACCAUUACAAAAUAAUAAUAAUAAUAAUAAUAUUAUUAUUAUUAUUAUUAUUAUUAUUAUUAUUAUUAUUUUUAUUAUUUUUAUUUUAUAGUAGUUUAUUAGGAAAGGAGACUAGUAAAAGGCCAUAUUAUCUUAUUAUUGCUUGUUUCCUUGUAGGGUGUAUUUGUAAUUUUGUUUGUUUCCAGGAAUAGGCCGUAAAAUGAUUCAUGCUAACUUCAAAACAAAAGGAAACACUCUGAUUAUUCAGCCACACCACACAACGCUACCUACCUAGCUAGAUUGGUAGCUUAUACUAUAGUACCCAAUACUUGGAAGCUUGGAGUGGUGAAUUUGACAAAUUGACCCUUUUACGGCUGCCGUCCAGGAUGAACUCGUUGCAGACUUUCAGUAGUACUACUCUUGCAUCAGUACUAAUCAGGGGCCCUCCAAUCUAUCAUCAAUACUAAUUAUCCAUGCUUAACUAGCAUCAGAUUAUAGGACAAAAUAAAACAGAAAAAAAAAGAUUACAGGGCACAACCUUAUCCCCUGAUGAUUAACUUCAGUUCAGUUUGAUGCUUUGUUUCUUUCAUCAUCAUGAGUCACCCCGCCGCCAGCUUGUCGGCUUCAGCUUGCCUCCUGUUCCUAAUACUUAUUCCUGAAGUUGUUCACAACAUGAAACAUGUAACAAAUAGUAGUAGAUCGAAUCAAUCAACAGUCUAAGAUCACAUCAAUUUCAUGGUGCGUUCUAUGACAUUUCGUGGUGUUCUAACACAUAUCUUGUGCUGUACUAUUGUGUUCACGUGCAUGUGCCAGUUGGAUAAACCAGUUAGUAGGACACAGCUCCUCUGACGUAAAGACAGAGAGACGUGGGUCGCAGACAGGUGGGGCCCACCUUUAUGGGCCUACACGUCAGUGACCACGUCCAUCUAACUUUCACUGGUGGAGAAUCCGGGACUAAAGAUCGCUAUCUUUAGUCCUGGGUGAAAAAACCGGGAGUAAAAAUCCAUUUUUAGUCCUGGUUGGUGUUACCAACCGGGACUAAAGAUACUCUAUCUUUAGUCCCGGUUGGUAACACUAACCGGGACUAAAGAGGCUAGCUAGGCUGCUACUUUAUUCUAUUCUUUUCUUCAUUGUUUUUAAUAUUUUGAUUCACUCUAUCCCGUCCCAAAAUCCCAAAUCAAUCGUCAUCCCCGAAUAGUCUCCAAAUUCUCAAAUCAAUCUCAAAAUACAUAACAAAAUCUUAAAAAAAUUACAUCACAGCUUCUACAAAAUUCAUCACAAAUACAUCACAUAUUCACAUCACACACAAAUCAAAUACAUCACAUAUUCACAUCACACACAAAUCGUCUUAGAUCCAAAUCACAGAUUUAAAAAAAAAAGAAAGAAAAAAGGAAGAAGAUGAACGGCCCGCUGCUGCCGCCUCGCCGCCCGCCGCCAGCGUGCCGUCGCGCCCGGCCCUCCGAGCGCCGCGCCGCCUCACCGGCCGGCAGCCGCCGCGCGCCGCGCGCCGCCCGCCUCGUCCCUGGCCGCCGCCGCGAGGCCACCAGCCGCCAGCUCGCCGCCUCGCCCGGCCUCCGCGCGCCCCGCCGCCGCGCAGGCCGGCCGGUGUCACGCCCCGAACUAGUCCCGACCGGAACUAGCCCGUGACGCUCCAAUUUAACCUGUUAAUCGAUACCAGUCCCAGGAAGCAGUGCUGGUAUCACAGGGAGACAGAAUAUCACAGCAACAGAGGUCUCUUUAUUAUAGAGUAGAAGUACAGUCAUGUUGGGCUGCGGACAGAUCCCGAGCUUACAACUGCAUGACAAAAGGAAAGCGGAAGCCAGGACUUGGACCAAACAAUCACAGGCGCGACUUGGGAACUAGGCCGAAACCCUAAAACUCAUCGUAGCCGGCUUGCUCCUGGAAGAACUCCUCAUCAGCAGGAUCCGCUUCAUCUUCUUCAGCAACUGGGGGGGUUAUUUAUAUAGAGCAAGGGUGAGUACGGGAGUACUCAGCAAGCCAGGGGAAAUAAGUGUUUAAUGCAGGCUUCAAGGAAAGGCUGUUGUUUUUGCAAUUGAUUUUAUUUGAACUCUUUUUCUAAAAUAACUAGGUGAGUGCUUCUCAAACGACACGAAUGAGACAGUGCGUCUCGUCCGGUCGGAGUAUGUGCAAUGUAUCAGUCUUCAGAUCUUGAAACAAGGUUGGCACCCGGCCAACAGCUUUUCAAACGGCCACCCGGGCCAACAACUUUUCAAACGGCCACCCGGGCCUAGCUGAUCCCGUCAGCUGCUGAUUUUCCAAACAUCGAACCCAUUUUCACAACAGCAAUUUCACAAGCAGUAGUCAAACAAAACUACGCUAGGAAUCACCUCACAUCCGCCCAUGACCGUGGGCACGGCUGUUCGAACAGUUUGUUAACCUCUGCAGAGGGGGUACACUUUACCCACACGACAUUACUAACCCGGAUCACCCAGCCGUGGGGAUCAGCCACGUCGGGAGACCUCCAAGCUUUCAUGACAAGGCAUUUCGAAAGCCGAUACAGGUUUACCAUAUGCCGACGAGAGGGGUCCCAGACCAACAACAGGUUAGGUCCCAGACCAUACUGUGCCAGAAAGCCCAGGGGUCCUCCCCGACACCACCCCGGCGAAUCCACAUGUCUCUCAGCAUCAAGGCUCCCCUGAUAAGCUAGUUACUCAGCCAGGGGUGUCCCAUUCCACCCAUGUGGUCGUACUUGUCUUAUGUUUGGAUGAAAUUCCAAGGAAUCGGUCCUUAAGUGCGAGAGCGGGAAACCGUACACCCGGUACGUUCCCCGGUCCGCGGUUUUGGAAAUUCAUUUAGUUCGCAAGCACCGACCCAGGUGUCGGGUUUUCCAAGUCUUUUGUAAAACUCCAGUUUUACCCAAGUUGUUACUCAGAUUUUAAGUUUGAAGGCGACCGUCGAUACUUGCACAGAGUGCACGAAUAUCGAGGUGCAACUGGGUGGUUACAAGGGGACAUAGUAUGGCAAUUAACAAUGGAAGGAUCAAAUGCAACAAGUUAGGUAAGUCCGCCAAUCUGUCUUGCAGAUGGGACAAAAGAUUUAGUGCGAUCCUAUCAAUGCAUAAUAUUUUGCAAGCAAUAUAAUUAAAUUUCAAAUAUAGGCUCAAGAUGUUCAAAGGUGGCUUGCCUUGCUCGAGAUCUGGAGCUUGAUCCUCGAAAUCCUCGCACUGCGGGUCUUCUGGCUCCGAAACUACACGCGAAACGGGACAACUCAACAAACGGCAAAAAAAUAAAGCCCUAUUAAUGACCUCUAAGCGUGCCAUUAGAUAGAUCUCGAGAUUUGGGGAAAUUUGGAAGUUGAAUGGAGUCAAACGGAUUUACGGUUGGGAAGAUAUUGAAUUUCUAAGAUUAUUGAAUUUUUUAUCUAAAGGAAAAGGAUUUAAUUAAAUCCUUUUUGGAAAAGAAAAGGAAGAGGGAGGAGAAGUAGACUUCUCUCGGGCGGCUAGGGCGCGGCCCAAGGGAAAUGGAGUGGACCGGCCGAUCUUAACGGGCCGGCCGGCCCAAGACGGCCCAAGCGCGCGCGCGCGUGGGAGGGAGGAGAGAGAGUCCGGUGGACUGGGCUCACCACGCGCGGUCCCGGGUGGGACCCGCUUGUCAGCGGCUCGGCUCACCGUGCGGAGGGAGUUUGCGGCGUACGCGCGCGGGCGGGGCUGGGACGCGGUGCACGCGCGCGGUUCGCGGAGGAACGGAUGCGGCGGGCCCACGCGCAGCCUCACGGCUCACCGCGGACCAUGCGCACGGGGGAAAAACGGAGGGAGCGGCUGGCCGGGUCGGCUUAUCCGGUCGCGGCCGAGGUGGCGCCGACGUGGCGCCUACGUGGCAGCCACGCGGGCCGGCGGGAGGUAGACGACGACCCGGCCGCGAAUGGACGGCGGGCGACAGCGGCGAGCGGCGGAGCGAGCCACGGCGAUACCGGCGAAAGCGAGCACACCGGGUGGCAGCACAGGACGAGGGGAGACGAGCCAACGGCUCGGAUUCGCCGGAGGGAGUCCGUCGGCGGCGGAUUGCGGCGGCGGCAACCGGCGGAGAGGAAAGGGGGAAACGGCGAUGAGGUCCCGAGGGGCUAAUUCCCGGCGGCGAGAGCAUCUACGCGGCUUCGGGAACUCGACGCUUGCGUCGGAUUGGACGGAACUACGCCGAGCGAGGCCGGCGACGAGCGGGUGCUACGGAGCUCGGGCGGCGACGGCGGCGAGCAUACAGCGAGCGAUGGCAACGGUCGGGGCGGCGCCGGCUAACUACGGGGAGUCUACUCAAGCUACUACCGAAAGCUAGGGGGAGGAGAUGGAGCGAGGAGGGAGAACGGAGGGAGGCACUACCGUGCGGGACGGGCGCAGUGACGAGAGGCCGACGGCGCGGGAGUGAUCUCUCCGGCCUCGGGCCGAGGAAGAGUGUCGCGACCGGGAAAAUUGCCUUUUCCCGAACGCUAGUGUAUUAAUCCCCGUCCCAGGAAAAGCCGGGGUACACCACACAAACAUGAUAUAAAAGACACAUCUUUAUUAUAUCGAUAAUAUUUACAUUAUUACAAAGGCGCUUCAGGCCUGGCAAUCAAAAAUAAACAGCAGCGGACUAGCAGGCCUACGGCUCCAUCUUCACAGGCGCUCAACUGGGGUAUAAGCCAGGACUCCACCUAAGACAUCUUCUCCAAAGCUUCUCUUACUGAAGGGGGGGGGGAGAAAGAUAGAGCAAGAAUGAGUACAACCACAGUACUCAGCAAGCCACACCGGAGAUGCACAAUUAAUGCAAAGGAGUACAAGGGGAUAAUAAUAUAGGGGUUAAGUUUUGCAGUAAACAGCAUUUAACAGUCACUUAGUUGCCCAAAGCUAUUUUGUAAACACGAUCCUAGAGCUAUACAAUAUUAUUAAUCAAGGUCGUGAACCCACACGAACCUGCCUUAACCCAAGGCCUACGAUGAUUCAGACCGAACUGGCAACCCGACCCUGGGCCCCAGCUCGUCCCAAGCCAACCCAGGCCAACCAUUCCACAUUUUAGUUGUUGAGCAAAUUUUAAGAAUUAUAACACUGACUUGGGUACAUUGCUCGGCUUGCCCAUAACCGAGGGCGCGGCUAUUCGAAUAGAUUAUACUCUGAUCAGAGGUGUACAUCUUUACCCACAAGACACAUCUUCCUCACGUGCAACCACGUGCCACAUACCACCACGGUAUACAGACGGAAGACGUGACAUAGUUCCCAACCCAUCCUAGCCAUAAACAAGAGUACCGACCCAAUCCCACCUACGGCCGGAACCCCCGGGACAGGCAGGCAGGACUGAGCCCCAAGCAGCAGGGCACCAACCCUCUGCCACGACAUCUCGACUACCGGGCCGCAGCUCGUGUAGCCUUCAUUUGUCCUGGAGAAUGUCCAUCGACCCCCGACUUCAUCCAUCUCCAAUCCGUGUACUUUUGUUUAUGACUAGACUGAGCCACAAACUAAGCCUUACCCACUAGACAUGUGGAAGUACGGUAGUGCUUUGCAACAGAGGCCCGAGCUUAAUCCUUAUAGUGGCCGGGGUGCUACUUCCCACAACUGGCAUGCACCCAAACCCCACCGAAAACAGGUUUUAGGGGUUUUGAAAGAGGAAGAGAGGUGUAUGUCCAAUUCCACCAUAACCCAACAAUUCCAUAGUGUCCAAAUGAUAUGAGAAUUCCCAAAGUCUAAAGUUAUAAAACCACCUAAUGUUGCCUAAUUAAUCAGCGAAUCAUCUACCUAAAUUUAAACUAGGGAUACCACGAGUAGAGUGUCCACUAGUUGAGGUUUUGUUUAAUCUAGGGUGAACAAGGUAGUAAUAAUAACAAUAACAAUAAUAAUAUGGUCAUAACAAAGGUAAAUAGGCAUGGCUAAAUAAAACAGUGAUAACGCGGGAAUUUAAAUAAAGCGAUAAUGCAAUAAUUUAAAUCAACAUAAUUUUACAAACUGGGAUUCAAUAUGUUCAAAGAUGAUGUGACUUGCCUUGCUCAGAGAGAACGGCCUUCCGAACCUUCGGCGACGACCGCGAACCACGCUUCGGGAACCUCCGGAACGACGAAAGCUACGCGAAGCACACAAGCAAAGCUACAAGCCUAUAAAGAAGCAAUAACAAUACAUAAAAAGAAAGCACAGGGUUCUUUAGGUUAUAACCAACAUUAGGAGACUUGAACGGGUCGAUUCAGGGUUCGUAUGACCAAGAUAUGAUCAUCCGAGGUUUAAUGCUGUUAUAUGGAGAUUUGCGGAUUAUUAUAAUUAAGCUUUGCAACUAUAAAACGUGUGUAAGCGCUAGCCUGGAAAAGACAGGAAGGCUGCGCCGUUGACAUGCGGACCCCACAUGUCAACCUAAAGGACCGCGGUAGACCAGGUACACAGAGACGGUCCACGGGUCGACGGAAGCGGACCCCGUGUGUCAACCGAGGCGAGUGGCCGACAAACGGACUCCACUAGACACCACACGGCCUGCACACGUGGAAACCACGCGGCUACCGAGCGGGCACGCUAACACGGUCACCACACGCACAAGCGAACGACUACCAACACCGGUACACGGGUACCGGGGCCGACAACCGCACAACGAGCACGGGCGACACCGAAAGGACGAGGACGGGGCAGCGGGAGAGGGAUCCUUACCACCACGCGACGAGGCGUGGGAACGACAACGACGAACGGGCGCGGCGGAGGCGGCCGGGAACCACGGAGACGAACGGCGAGGGGACGACUUCGGCGGCGAUCCUAGGACGAAGGCGAGACGCGGCCGGCACGAGGCUUGACGACGCGGAGGCGAGGACGAAGACGAUGAUGGGGCUGCUGCACUUGACGAAGCGAGGACGACGAACGAGAACGGCUUGACGGAGGGACGAACGCCACGACGAUCGGAACCGGGAACGACGAGAGGACGACGACGACGACGACCGGAGCCGGCGAGGAGGCGACGAGGGCAGCCGGCGGUGGCUGCACGGAGACGAGGACGACGUGGAACACGCCGCUGCGAUGCCGACGACGGAGGCGGCGCCGCGAGACGACGAGCCGGGCAACCGACGGGACGUCGACGACGAGAACGAUCGGAGACGACGAUGAUGGACCGCGGAGGGGUUUGGAUGGAGGGGAAACGAUGCCGAGGACGACCUUGCCGCUGCGAUGCCGGAGGUGGUAGUGGUGCAGCAAGCCGACGAGCCGGGGAGGAGGAAGGGGCGGCCGAAAGGACGCCGGCGACGAAGAGGAUGGAGAGGCCGGCGCGGCGACGGCGUUCCGGCGAAACCGAGGAGCAGCCGGAGGGGAGGACGACGCUGCGAUGUCAACGGAGGAGACGGCGACGUCGGUCGGCGUACCGGCGACGAACAGCAGCCGGCCGGAGACGGAGAAGUGGUGGCGACGCCACUGGACGCCGGCGAGGAGGCCACUCCAGCGAGCUUCGGGCGAGGAGGAGGUGAUGCCGGGGAUGAGGGCGGCGUCGCGGAGCCGAGGGAGGUGGUGGCGACGUCGUCCGGCGCUCAGGCAGGGAGACAGAGGCGGCUGGAGGCGGCCGGCGCGGAGGAAAGGGAUGGGCGACGACGGGAACGCAGCUCCGGGGGUCUCCGCGCGAAACGGAGGGCAGGCCGGCGAAGAGGAGGUGGCGGCGACGCUGGAGGAGGCGACGGCACGGCCGGACGACGCUCCGGCGAGGCGGGAGAGGCGGCUGGAGGCCGGCCGGCACCGGAGAGAGAGAGGGAGAAGGUGGGGAGAGGCGGUGCGGCCACGGGGGAGCUCGGGAAGAGGCUAAAACGGUAGAACGCAUAGAGGGGGUUCCAUUUUAUAGGAGAGGAGAGGGAGCCGGCCACGGGGGAGGUCGGAACGGCGACGGGAAUGGCGGCCGGCGGCAAAGGUAGGCGGCCGGACUUGGCGCGUCCGUUCCCGGCGAUUGGGGGCGCCAUUCAAGGGGGAAUUAAGGGGGAAAGAGAGAGGAGGGAAAGGGGAUUAAUUCCCCCUAAUCAAUUUGGGAAUCCCAUGCUUGAAUCGCGCGGAUUUGAGGGAGGAAUGGCGCUAGGGUUCACGGGAGAGGGAGAGAGGACGGCCGGGCGGGAGGACGACGAUGACUCGCCUGACGCGCGGGCCCCACGCGGUCAGGCGGCGGCGUCAGCGCGCGCACGCGCGCGGCACGGGCGGGAGGGCGCCGCUUGGGCAGGGGCGCGGCUAGGGUUGGGCCGAGCGGCCGGCCCAGGAGGAGAGGAGGGGGAGGCGGCCUGGGCCGGGCAGGCCGGGAGGGGAGGGGGGGGGGAAAGAGGCAGCCCGGGAGAGAGGGAGGAGGGAGCUGGGCCGAGGGGAAGGGGAGCCCAAGAGAAGGAGGGAGAGAAGGAGAGGGAGAGAAGGAGAGGGAGAGAAAGAGAGGGAGGAAAGGGAGACUUCGGCCGCGGGCCGAGGGGAGAGAGGGAGGACUUUGGGCCAAAAUUGGCCCAAAAGAAAAGGAGGAUUAUUUUUAGAUUUUCUUUUUAAUAAACUUUGUUAAUUGUUUUUGUUGCUUAAUAAUUAUUUCCGGUGCUCUGAAAAUUCAAGUAAAAUUUGAGAGCUCCAUUUAGACCAAGGAGAAUUUAACAAAAAUUCUCCGGGCCACAUUUGAAUUUUUCUUGCACGUAUUUUAGUGUUUGCCAAUUUCUUUUCGUAUUUUAAUUAAUUCUAUUAUUCCUUUUAGAAAAUGAUUUUUAUUUUGGGAUGAAUUUAUCAGGACGUGACAAAGAGGGUGAAGAGGGCGCGCCCGGAGUCCCCUUCCGCGUCCACGAACGCACCGGCUCUCCCGGCGCUUGGCGAUGGACGGCGGAGGCGAGGCAGAGCACGGGAGCGGCGGCAAUGGCGCGGAGGCGAAUGGGAGAGGAGGGGAAAGGGGAGGCUGGGGUUUAUAGGGGGCGGCAAUGUCAGUUUGGGAACCGACUUGCGCGGUCAAGGGCGCGAGCUGGCGCUCCGGCUAGCGGCCAAAACGGCGACAGGAGGAUGACGCCGGCGAGAAGGGAAAAAGGGGAGAAAAAGAAGAAAAGGAGGGAGAGAAAGGGGGCUCGCCCCUUUGCCGAUUCGGGAAAAGGAGGAGGGGGCGGGGCGACGCGGCAGAGGGAAGGGAGAGCUCGGCCUCCGCCUCUUGGCGGCUUGCGCGCGGAGUGGCGGGGCCGGGGGAUGACGACGGCGAUGACGGUGAGAUGGUUUGGAGCGGCGCGACGACACGGGCGACAGGCGCGGCAGGCGCUGACGACGGCGGCGACUGGGCGGUCGGCCACUCAGCGCGCGCGCGCGGGAAACAACGGGCGGCGUCCGCGCGGGCGCGCGCACGCGAACACGGCGCGCGGGAAGCGGCUUUGCGAGGGGAGGGGCGCUUAGCGCGGGCGACUCCCGCGCACGCGCGCGCGGCGCGCGGGCGGGACGGAGGGGAAGCGGGGAGAGAGGCGCUCGGGGCGGCUCUCGCACGCGCGAGCAGCGUGCGGGCGAGGCUGAGCGGGGGGGGGGGGAGGAGCGCGCCGGGGGGAGAGAGAGAGAGAGAGAGAGAGCGCCCGGGAGAGAGGGCCGGGGGAGAGAGAGAUGGGCCGAGCGAGAUUCGGCCCAUCGACCUCGGGGGAGGCAAAAUAGACUUUUGCGGAGGAAUUUGAUUGGAAGGAUUUGGAUUCGGAAUUGAACUCGACGAUAGAUCGGGGAUUGAGAUCUUGAGAUGGCACGGACACUAGACAACAAUCAAAGAAACAAAUUUCGCAAUUAGGGUUUUUCGGAGAUUAUUUUCCCGCUAGGCACCACGACGGAACGGGCGCUACAGACCAACCCCCCCUAACAAGAAUCUCGACCCCGAGAUUCAGCACCUAAGGGAGCAGCUCCGGAAACUCGGCGCGGAGAAGAUCUUCUCGUUCCCAUGUUGCCUCAUCUUCGGAAUGAUUGCUCCAUUGGACUUUGUAGAACUUGAUGGUCUUCCUUCGAGUCUGACGUUCUGCCUCUUCAAGAACCUUGAUCGGUCUUUCCUUGUAGGUCAGAUUCUUUUUCAGCUCGAUGUUACCCAAGGGGACUUGCUCUUCUGGAACUCGAAGACAUUUCUUUAGCUGGGAUACGUGGAACACGUUGUGCACAUCUGCGAGACCUUCAGGUAGCUCAAGCUGAUAAGCCACUUCGCCACGUCUGGCGGUUAUGAGGUAGGGGCCGAUGUAGCGGGGUGCUAACUUGCCGGACAUCCCAAACCUUCUCAUACCUCGGAGUGGUGAUACCCGCAGGUACACAUGAUCUCCCUUUUCGAACUCAAGGUCACGUCUCCGAUUGUCAGCGUAAUUCUUUUGGCGGUUCUGCGCUGUCUUCAGACGUUCUCGGAUCAGCUUAACUUGUUCUUCUGCUGACUUGAGUAUGUCAGGACCGAAUACCAGGGCUUCGCCCACCUCAUUCCAGCACAAGGGGGUGCGGCACUUUCUUCCGAACAUUGCCUCAUUCGGCGACAUCUGAAUGCUGGCCUGAUAACUGUUGUUGUAUGAGAACUCAGCAUACGGCAAACAACGAUCCCAAGUGCCUUCGAAAUCCAAGGCACACGCACGCAGCAUGUCUUCUAGGAUUUGGUUUACCCUUUCUGUCUGACCAUCGGUCUGUGGAUGGUAGGCCGUACUAAAAUUCAGAUCAGUUCCGAGGGCUUCAUGCAACUGCUUCCAGAACCUUGAGGUGAACUGAGUGCCUCGGUCUGACACAAUUUUCUUGGGACAGCCAAAUCUACAUACGAUAUGGGUCAUGUAGAGUUCUGCUAGUUUCUUUCCAUCAUAGGUGGUUUUUACUGGCACGAAAUGAGCUGAUUUCGUGAGUCGGUCCACGAUUACCCAAAUGGAGUCGUACCCGCUGGGGGUUCUUGGCAAACCGGUGAUGAAAUCCAUUCCGAUCUCUUCCCAUUUCCACUCGGGAAUCGGUAGGGGUUGCAGCAGACCAGCUGGCCUCUGAUGCUCUGCCUUGACUCUUUGGCAAAUGUCACACAAGGCUACGUAUUCUGCGACAUCUCGCUUUAUUCCAGCCCACCAGAAGUAUGCCUUGAUAUCUUGGUACAUCUUCGUACUUCCUGGAUGAAUGGAGUAAGCGGACUCAUGAGCUUCCUUUAGGAUGAGAUCUCUUAACUCCUUCUUGGCCGGUACACAGAUGCGUGGACCGCACCAAACUGUGCCUUGAUCGUCUAUGGAGAAAUUGGUGUCUUUCUUCUCCUGUAUUCUUUUUAUUAACUCUUUUAUCCCUUCGUCGUCUUUCUGUGCCUCCCGGAUUUGCGAUUCUAGGGUAGGCUGUACUGUCAAGCUGGCAGGGACUCCUGACUGUACCACGGUCAGCCUUAACUUCUCCAAUUCUCUGCACAGGUGAUCUUGGUCAGGCCGUAUUUGAGCUACAUUGCAAUAGGCCUUGCGACUUAGUGCAUCAGCGACCACGUUGGCUUUACCAGGAUGAUAGUGGAUUCCAAGAUCGUAAUCCUUGAUUAGUUCCAACCAUCUUCUCUGUCUCAUAUUUAACUCGGUCUGAGUGAAGAUAUACUUAAGACUUUUGUGAUCGGUGUAUACUUCACAUCUGUUCCCGAUUAAAUAGUGCCUCCAGAUCUUAAGAGCAUGAACCACGGCUGCCAACUCGAGAUCAUGGGUGGGAUAAUUGACUUCAUGAGGCUUGAGCUGCCUGGAUGCAUAGGCCACAACCUUUCGUUCUUGCAUUAGGACACAUCCUAAGCCUUGUCUUGAUGCGUCACAGAAGAUCUCGAAAUCUUUUCGGAUAUCUGGCAAGGUGAGAACUGGGGCAGUGGUCAACUUUUUCUUCAUUUCUUGAAAGCUGUCUUCACAGGCUGUAGACCAUUGAAAUUUCUUUUCCUUCUUUAACAGUUCGGUCAUAGGUCUGGCUAGCUUAGAGAAUCCUUCAAUGAAUCUUCGAUAAUAUCCAGCUAAGCCAAGGAAGCUGCGAAUCUCUGACACAUUCUUGGGCGGGUUCCAAGCAAGUACAGCUUCAACCUUGCUGGGAUCUACUUCGACACCGUUGGAGGAGAUCACGUGUCCAAGAAAUGCUACUCGGUCUAACCAGAAUUCGCAUUUCGUGAAUUUAGCGAAUAGUUGAUGAUCUCUGAGCUUUUCCAUUAUCAGCCUCAGGUGUUCAGCAUGUUCUUCCUCAUUUUUGGAGUAUAUCAGGAUGUCAUCGAUGAAUACCACGACAAACUGGUCCAGGUAUUCCAUAAAGAUUUUGUUCAUUAAGUUCAUGAAGAAUGCUGGAGCAUUGGUGAGUCCGAAGGACAUUACUGUGAACUCAUAUAGACCAUAACGCGUUGAGAAAGCGGUCUUUGGGAUAUCUUCAGACCUGAUUUUCAAUUGGUGGUAACCUGACCUCAAGUCAAUCUUUGAGAAAACUCUUGCUCCUUUAAGUUGAUCGAAUAAAUCGUCAAUCCGUGGCAACGGGUACUUGUUCUUUAUAGUUACUUCAUUCAGGGCUCUAUAGUUGAUUACCAUUCUCUCAGAGCCAUCCUUUUUCUUAACCAGAAGCACUGGGGCUCCCCAAGGGGAUGAGCUAGGUCGCACAUAACCUUUACUCUCCAACUCUUCGAUUUGUCUUUUGACUUCUGCUAACUCAUUAGCUGCCAUUCGGUAGGGUCUUUUUGCAAUUGGAGCUGUGCCUGGUGCCAGUUCUAUGGCGAACUCGAUCUCUCGGUCUGGUGGCAUUCUUGUUAAUUCUUCCGGAAAUACGUCGGGAUAUUCACAGACUAUGGGCACCGACUCCAAGGAGGUGACUUGUAAACAGGUUAGGAUGGACCGACUUGCGGUAGGGUUGUUAGGGGUAAAGCGGACUUGCUUUCCUCCAGGUCCUUGCAAGGUGAUGGACUUUUCGGCACAAUCUAUCUGUCCUUUGUGCUUAGCCAACCAAUCCAUCCCUAGGAUGAUGUCCAAGCUUUGCGAGUCUAGGACUAUCGGUUUGGCUAGGAAGUCAACUUCCUCAAUUCUAAGGUUAACUUCCGGGCAUAUUUGAGUUGCCCUUAUAUUCCUUCCAGAGGAAUGUACUAUCAUUGGUACACGCAAAUUUUGGGUUUUCCAACCAUUUCUUUUCACAAAAGCUUGCGAUAUGAAGGAAUGGGAAGCUCCCGAAUCAAACAGGACUAUUGCGGGUACGGAGUUGACAGAGAACAUACCCAUCACAACGUCUGGAGCAUCCUGAGCGGUUUCAGCUUGAAUGUGAUUCACACGUCCUCGACCAAAGUGGUUGGAAGCACGAGAACCUUGUCCACUUGCCUGAGAGCUAGGACGAGACUGAGCUGCCGCUGGAGUAGGAGUUCUGGCGGUGCUGCCAUUAGCAUGCCCUGAGUUGGUGUUGGUAGGAUUCUGAGGACACUGUCUAGCAUAGUGACCCAUCUGGUUGCACCGGAAACACUGAACUGCUGAUGGUCCCUGCGGUGACUUGAAAGAGGUAACACUGUUAGGCGCUGUAUUGCCACUAGGGGCACGCUGCUGUGGCGGAGGUGCCGGACGGUUUAUCUGAGGACGAGGGGCGUAGCCUGGCUGGCGGUUAGCCUGAGUGACCGACUGAUGGUAUUGCAUGGGUUGACCGUAGCGAGGGCGAGGUGCGCCUCGGGAAGAAUUUCCCUGAUGGUUAGACUUGCGUUUCUUGUAUUCUUCGGUAGCCUCUUUUCUGGCAUCCUCAAGUAGAAGUGCUUUGUUGAUCAUAUGUUGAAAAGUGGGGAAGUCAUGAGCAAGCAACUGGAGUCUCAUUCCAACUGCGAUUCCUUUCAAGAAUUUCCUAAUCUUUUUCUUAUCUGUGUCUACUUCCUCAGGGGCGUACCGAGCCAACUUGUUGAACUGACUUAGGAACUCAUUGACACUGCUGUUGCCUUGCUUAAGUCUGUUAAAUUCUUCUUUCUUCAUGUCAAUAGUGCUUUCAGGCACAUGAGCUGCACGAAAAGCCGUAGCGAACUCAUCCCAAGCAAUGUUAGUGGGUUCAGGGUGUGCAUUGCAGUAAUUCUCCCACCAAUCUGCGGCAGGUCCUCUUAGCUGGUGAGAGGCGUAGAGCGUCUUCUCAACAGGAGUACACUGCACUAAGUUGAGUUUUCUAUCAACAUCUUUCAACCAAUCAUCAGCCUCGACGGGCUCGACGGUCUGAGAGAACUCUGGCGGACGAGACCUCAGAAAGUCUGUCAGCUUGGAUCUGUUGUUGCCCAUGUGAGGGUGGCCAUUUCCAUGUGCAUUAUGCUGAAAACUGGCUAUGACUGUGGUUAGUCCUUGCAAGAUUUGUGUCUGAACUGCCAUUAAGUGUUGCAUGUUGUUUUCCACAUGAGGUGGGGAAGGGAGGCGUUCUUCUCCAGAAUUGUGACUGGCAGUGCGGUGAGAGCGGUGAGACUGCUCCAUCUCUGCAUCACGGGAAACUGUGCGAUGCGAGCGGCUGCUGCGGCGGGGUUGCUCAACCUCUGCGUUGCGGGAAACAGUACGGUGCGAACGGUUGCUGUGGUGAGACUGCUCAUUAGCUGAUUCAUGAUUUGCUUCUGCUUCAACUCUACCAUCUUCAAAACCAAAGCGGGCUGGUGCACGAGCUGCACGGCGGGGGCGGCUAGCCAUCUAAACUCCCAGAAAAGGGCGGGGUAAGAGUCAGAUAAGCACUUAGGAGGGCAAGGAGCAAAGCAAAUAGCAACUCAGAUAGCACACACUAGGCAUAAACUGGAUUUUUCAAAUCAUAAAAACACCUGAUACAACGGGUGUGGACAAGUCACAGAGCUACGCCGAGCUUGACUGUGCGCACACCACCUAGGAGAACCAGACUACCAAACAACACCCACAUCAAACACACACACGCACUACCUCGCCACGACUCCAAAAGAGUUGGCGGCGGAACAAAAGGGCCUGACACACGGACGGCUGCUGAAGACUGCCUCCUCUACUCCUCGUCGGCCUGGCUGCCUCCUGUAGUCGGCUCCUCUGUCGAAGAAACGUCGAUCGGCUGGUGCGAAGGGACCGGCGGAACCUGUCGAGGGCCGGCAGCAGCACGGGCUGCUGGCGGUGGGGGAGCUGGGUAGUGGAAACGGAACACGGUGGAAGAACCAACAACACGCUUCCGCGCAGUGCGGAUAAAGCGUGGGCCACGGCGGGAGGAAGCAACUUUGUCUUAUGUUUGGAUGAAAUUCCAAGGAAUCGGUCCUUAAGUGCGAGAGCGGGAAACCGUACACCCGGUACGUUCCCCGGUCCGCGGUUUUGGAAAUUCAUUUAGUUCGCAAGCACCGACCCAGGUGUCGGGUUUUCCAAGUCUUUUGUAAAACUCCAGUUUUACCCAAGUUGUUACUCAGAUUUUAAGUUUGAAGGCGACCGUCGAUACUUGCACAGAGUGCACGAAUAUCGAGGUGCAACUGGGUGGUUACAAGGGGACAUAGUAUGGCAAUUAACAAUGGAAGGAUCAAAUGCAACAAGUUAGGUAAGUCCGCCAAUCUGUCUUGCAGAUGGGACAAAAGAUUUAGUGCGAUCCUAUCAAUGCAUAAUAUUUUGCAAGCAAUAUAAUUAAAUUCCAAAUAUAGGCUCAAGAUGUUCAAAGGUGGCUUGCCUUGCUCGAGAUCUGGAGCUUGAUCCUCGAAAUCCUCGCACUACGGGUCUUCGGGCUCCGAAACUACACGCGAAACGGGACAACUCAACAAACGGCAAAAAAAUAAAGCCCUAUUAAUGACCUCUAAGCGUGCCAUUAGAUAGAUCUCGAGAGUUGGGGAAAUUUGGAAGUUGAACGGAGUCAAACGGAUUUACGGUUGGGAAGAUAUUGAAUUUCUAAGAUUAUUGAAUUUUUGAUCUAAAGGAAAAGGAUUUAAUUAAAUCCUUUUUGGAAAAGAAAAGGAAGAGGGAGGAGAAGUAGACUUCUCUCGGGCGGCUAGGGCGCGGCCCAAGGGAAAUGGAGCGGACCGGCCGAUCUUAACGGGCCGGCCGGCCCAAGACGGCCCAAGCGCGCGCGCGCGCUGGAGAGAGGAGAGAGAGUCCGGUGGACCGGGCUCACUACGCGCGGUCCCGGGUGGGACCCGCUUGUCAGCGGCUCGGCUCACCGUGCGGAGGGAGUUUGCGGCGUACGCACGCGGGCGGGGCUGGGACGCAGUGCACGCGCGCGGUUCGCGGAGGAACGGAUGCGGCGGGCCCACGCGCAGCCUCACGGCUCACCGCGGACCAUGCGCACGGGGGAAAAACGGAGGGAGCGGCUGGCCGGGUCGGCUUAUCCGGUCGCGGCCGAGGUGGCGCCGACGUGGCGCCUACGUGGCAGCCACGCGGGCCGGCGGGAGGUAGACGACGACCCGGCCGCGAAUGGACGGCGGGCGACAGCGGCGAGCGGCGGAGCGAGCCACGGCGAUACCGGCGAAAGCGAGCACACCGGGUGGCUGCACAGGACGAGGGGAGACGAGCCAACGGCUCGGAUUCGCCGGAGGGAGUCCGUCGGCGGCGGAUUGCGGCGGCGGCAACCGGCGGAGAGGAAAGGGGGAAACGGCGACGAGGUCCCGAGGGGCUAAUUCCCGGCGGCGAGAGCAUCUACGCGGCUUUGGGAACUCGACGCUUGCGUCGGAUUGGACGGAACUACGCCGAGCGAGGCCGGCGACGAGCGGGUGCUACGGAGCUCGGGCGGCGACGGCGGCGAGCAUACGGCGAGCGAUGGCAACGGUCGGGGCGGCGCCGGCUAACUACGGGGAGUCUACUCAAGCUACUAUCGAAAGCUAGGGGGAGGAGAUGGAGCGAGGAGGGAGAACGGAGGGAGGCACUACCGUGCGGGACGGGCGCAGUGACGAGAGGCCGACGGCGCGGGAGUGAUCUCUCCGGCCUCGGGCCGAGGAAGAGGGUGAAGAGGGCGCGCCCGGAGUCCCCUUCCGCGUCCACGAACGCACCGGCUCUCCCGGCGCUUGGCGAUGGACGGCGGAGGCGAGGCAGAGCACGGGAGCGGCGGCAAUGGUGCGGAGGCGAAUGGGAGAGGAGGGGAAAGGGGAGGCUGGGGUUUAUAGGGGGCGGCAAUGUCAGUUUGGGAAUCGACUUGCGCGGUCAAGGGCGCGAGCUGGCGCUCCGGCUAGCGGCCAAAACGGCGACAAGAGGAUGACGCCGGCGAGAAGGGAAAAAGGGGAGAAAAAGAAGAAAAGGAGGGAGAGAAAGGGGGCUCGCCCCUUUGCCGAUUCGGGAAAAGGAGGAGGGGGCGGGGCGACGCGGCAGAGGGAAGGGAGAGCUCGGCCUCCGCCUCUUGGCGGCUUGCGCGCGGAGUGGCGGGGCCGGGGGAUGACGACGGCGAUGACGGUGAGAUGGUUUGGAGCGGCGCGACGACACGGGCGACAGGCGCGGCAGGCGCUGACGACGGCGGCGACUGGGCGGUCGGCCACUCGGCGCGCGCGCGCGGGAAACAACGGGCGGCGUCCGCGCGGGCGCGCGCCCGCGAACACGGCGCGCGGGAAGCGGCUUUGCGAGCGGGGAGCUCGCGCGAGGGGAGGGGCGCUCAGCGCGGGCGACUCCCGCGCACGCGCGCGCGGCGCGCGGGCAGGACGGAGGGGAAGCGGGGAGAGAGGCGCUCGGGGCGACUCUCGCACGCGCGAGCAGCGUGCGGGCGAGGCUGAGCGGGGGGGGGGGGGGAGGAGCGCGCCAGGGGGGGGAGAGAGAGAGAGAGAGAGAGAGAGAGCGCGCCCGGGAGAGAGGGCCGGGGGAGAGAGAGAUGGGCCGAGCGAGAUUCGGCCCAUCGACCUCGGGGGAGGCAAAAUAGACUUUUGCGGAGGAAUUUGAUUGGAAGGAUUUGGAUUCGGAAUUGAACUCGACGAUAGAUCGGGGAUUGAGAUCUUGAGAUGGCACGGACACUAAACAACAAUCAAAGAAACAAAUUUCGCAAUUAGGGUUUUUCCGAGAUAAUUUUCCCGCUAGGCGCCACGACGGAACGGGCGCUACAGCCAGCCCUCCGCGCGCCGCGCCGCCGCGAGGGGCGGGCCUCUGCACCCCGCCGUUGCAGAGGGAGGUGGGGAGGAGGGAGAGGAAGAGAUAAGGGUGAUGGGGAGGAGGGAGAGGAGGAGAGAAAGGGAGGAGGGAGAGGAAGAGAUAAGGGUGAGUGGGUGACUUUGUGAGGAGAUGAGUUAAAAAAGGAGAGGAGGAGAUUGUAUUGAUCCGAUCCGCGUGCAACUAGCCUGCUUAUGUCGACUUUUUUCCCGGUUGGUAACACCAACCGGGACUAAACAUAGAUCUUUAGUCCCGGUUGGUACAUCAACCGGGAGUAAAGCUUAUAUUGAUCUUUUUUCCCGAUUGGUAACACCAACUAGGACUAUAAAUAGAUCUUUAGUCCCGGUUUUCAACACUAACCGGGACUAAAGAUCAAAAAAUUCCUCAAAGCUUUCAAACCGGGACUAAAAAUAUUUUUAGUCCCGGUUUUUAAUACAAUCGGGACUAUUGUGAAAUUUGGUAGACCGACCAAAGAUGGUUUCUACGUGAGAGGAGCCUCUUCCCAGUUAGCAAGUCACGUAUUGAACAAUGGAGACAAAUUGAUGGCCAGAGCCCCGAAGCAUAUAUUAUUACUUUUUUAAAAAAUGUGAGAAAUAAAAGGUUAGUAGUAUUUUGUGAGUUGCAAUAUGUACACCAUCCUUUUUUGAAGUAAAGAGUAAAAGGGAGCUAAAAGUGUUGCUCUUAAAUUAAGUGAGGUGGACGGAAGAGGUAUGUUAAUCCGCAAAAUAAUAAUAAAAAAAGUGGUUUUUGUUUUGCUUGGGUGCACUUUAUCUAAUGUGCUUUUAAAAUGUAUUUAUUCUUUUUUAAUAUUUUGCAAGGCUGUAGGAUGUGUAAGGACCAAUUUAUUAUUACGAUUGAGGCAAGCAGAAAAUUGACUAGCAUAUGACUGAUGUUUAAGCGUUGAAGAGUCAUAAAUUUUAAAUUAAUAUUUUGAUUUUUUUUGAGAGGAAAACUAACUGUUUCCAUUAACCCAUUGUCUCGACAGAACCGUCGAUAACCAAAUCCUCAACGCCAGGUGGAGUUCCAUCCCAGCUGAGAACAGUAUUGUCUGGGCUAUUACAUCCAAAUGCGGCUAAAGCGUCGGCCACCUUAUUACAUUCACGUGGGCAAUAACCAACACGGAAAGAAAGAAAAGCCAAAGCAAUAAACUUCUUCAUUUGCAGGACGAAGCCACCUAACGCUGCAAGAUGGAUGUUGCUCUCCUUCAGGGCUUGGACAAGCAACAGCGAGUCCGUCUCCAAGUGAAUAUGCGCUAUACCCCACUGUGCUGCCGCUUCAAGUCCCUUCACUGCCGCCAGAAUUUCAGCAUGGAGAGUGACGGAGCUCGUGGCUCCUCACCGGGAGACCGCGCAGGCCCCCCUUUGCCGGUUCGACCGGGGGCUUAGGGUGAAAUCCCAAGCUCUCGCUGUAUGUGGAAAGAUCGCGAACCCGGAAGAAACGCGAGACGCAGGAGACGUAUACAAGUUCGGGCCGCUGGGAAGCGUAAUACCCUACUCCUGUGUUUUGGUGGAUCUGUGUAUGGACAAGUUACAAAGUAUGAACCAGCCAAAAAGAUCCCCAUUCUAGGUGGGCAAGGUCCUCCUUUUAUAUCUCAAGGGGAUACCACAUGCCCCUCUCCCUUUCCAAACUGGACUGUUCUUCUCUUCAUAAAUGGACGGAGAUCGGUACGGUUGCUGUCCGAGUGCCCUUCUGACGGGACAGCCCAUACCUACCCCCGCUUCCGCCGGAAACAGGUGCAACAUGGGAUUAUGGCUGUCUGUGGAUGACGCGACCAGUGUCAGACCGGUCACAGAUUAGUCAUCCUUGUCUACCAUGCGUCAGCUUAGCAACGUGCAUGUUUGCCCUUCUUCAUGUAACAUCUUGCAUGUAAUGGUUGGGAUGAAGCCUGGUAUAAAUCUAACCAGGGCUAACGUGCCAUCUCUAAGAGAUAACACGCUAGCUCCGGCUUGAGACAAGUGCCUAGAGGCUUUCGUCUUGACGGGAUGGGGCAAGGCGUGCGUCAGACCGCCAGUCGCCACCUAACCCGUGAUCUGACCGGUCUGUGACCGGUCACAGACCGGAUAAAGGAACGCGCUGCACUGCGCUGCAUGCAGCGUGACACGCUUGACCAGACUACAAUAAAUGCGGUUAGGUGAGCACUGCCGUGUUCACCUAUCCCAUAUAUGUGGCGCAAACUUCCUCAAGGGGUCGGGGUGCCUCGGCCCUCGGGGCCGGGGCAGGAGUAACCCGACCCCCCCCUCGGGAGAAAUCAGGAGGAGGGCAGACACCUCACCCUCGGGCCCGACGUCCCCGAAGGUGCCAGGCCGCGUGGGCGAUUGUGUCUGCCUCAAGCCUCUGGUCACGAUACCCCCGGUCCCAUAUCACCGACAGUAGCCCCCGGCGUUAUGCCAGGGCGAUCGCCCUUCUCAAGGGAAGCGGUCGGGCGUAACGCCACUCCUAAAGCUUGGUGACAGGUGGGACCGGUUUCCAUGGUUGCGCAGAAACCCAACGGUCUCAAACCAUGCACAUCGGUAAUGGUAACUUGGCUGUCCAUAAUGGGCGGUCUCUUCAAGACUGCCACAUCACUUGAGCAGCGCACGAAUCUGGGUGAGCUGAUUUGCUUCGCCUGGAGAUAUGGUAACGUCGCUUCGGUCGGCGAGCGUAAUUAACGCGCGCACGAUACGAUCUAUCUCGACUGCCGCAACCGCACAUCCACUUCAUGCGCCGCAAGCGGGCGAAUGGGAUUAGUGGAAGCGUGGGCACGAGAAACGAGGGAGCGAGAUAGCGAGAAACGAGGGAGCGAGAUAGUGGGCGCGAGAAACGAGGAGCCGGGCACGGCGAUGGCAAGGGUAUAAAGACACCGAGGAAAAGAUUUGCUCCCUUCCUUUCGCCAUUAUUCCCCUUGCCUUCGCCGCUUGCGCCCUAACUCCUUCUCUGCUGCGCCCCACCUUCGCCACACGCGCUCGUUCUCAAUCAUCCCUUCCUCCGGCGCCAUGGCACGGGGCUCCGCUCUGCUCGACGGUAGCGUACUACUGCCUUCUCGCAUCGUGAGCGAGAGGCAGGCCGGGCUGCCGCGCCGCUUCAUGCCGGAAUCUGCCACCGGCCGGGAGAUAGUGAUGCUGGGCGAGGGACGCCCGGCACCAGACUACCCGGGGCGGUCCGUCUUCUUCCUCCCCUUCGCAAUGGCGGGGCUGGUUCCGCCAUUUUCUUCCUUCUUUAUGGACGUUCUGGAGUUCUACGAUCUCCAGAUGGCGCACCUCACCCCCAAUGCGGUGAUGACAUUGGCCAUCUUCGCGCACCUGUGCGAGAUGUUCAUUGGGGUGCGCCCAUCUCUUCGGCUGUUCCGGUGGUUCUUCACCGUGCAGUCGGUGUCGCCGCCGUCGGUGGUUGGUGGCUGCUACUUCUAGCCGCGGGGGCCGGUGCUGAACCGCUACAUCCCCUGCGUCCUCCGCAAGAAGUGGGACGACUGGAAGAGCGACUGGUUCUACACCCCCCUCGCCAACGAAGCGCGCCUCCGACUUCCAAGCCAGCCCCCGGCGCAGGUCUCCAGCUGGCGGGCGCCGGUAGAUCUGGGGGAUGACUAUGACGCCGUCCUUGAUCGCCUGGCGGGCCUGCGAUCCCAGGGGCUUACAGGGGCCAUGGUGUACGGCGACUACCUCCGUCGCCGGAUUGCGCCGCUCCAGCGGCGCGCCCGGAGCGCCUGGGAGUACUCCGGGUCCGAAGACUACAUGCGGACCCACCAAGGAGUCAGAUGGGAUUGGGCUCCCGAGGACUUCAAGAUCGUGGUCCAAAGGGUGCUGAAUCUCAGCUCCGUGGAGGCGUCUCUCAUUCCUCAAGGAAUCCUCCCCCUCUGCAGCGAUCCCGACCGCGCCUCUAUUUUGACCAUUAUGAUGGGGGUCGGGGCCUCAGAGGAGGAAACCCCUAAGGGCCACGACGGCGUGGGCGAGAGCCGCCGGGGGGGACAAUCUACCCCAGGAGGGGGUCGUGCUUCUGGCCCCGCGUCGGGGGCUCGGGGAGCAGCCGCCCUGCCGACGCCCAGGGGAAGAGGAAGCUGGGAGGAACACCUCCCCCAUCUCCUCCCCGAGGGGGCGGGGCGGUGCGUGCCAGCAGUCGGCGCCCGGAGGGGGCCGCGCCGUCAUCGCAACCCGAGGGGGAGCGCAAGAAGAAGCGGCUCCGUAAGAUGGGGGAGACGGAACCAUCCCGGGGAAACCUGAUUUCCCCUCCAAGGUGGUCAUUUAACCGACCCCCUCGCAGGUUCGUCCCACUCUCAUUACGACCGUCUUUCUCCUAUCCCAAAAGCAAGUUUUCUCUUACCCAUCUUGUUUGUCUUCUGGUUUUUUCUUCUGCUUCAGCGAUGUCCCGUCGCGUUCCUCCCGCCACCCCAAGUCUGGCCAGUCCGAGGCCGAAGAUCCGGCGGCCGCAGAGGAACGGAGGCGAGAAUCUGACCGGCGAGAGGCCGCAGAUCGCCUUCGGGAAGCUGAAGAGGCCGCCCGGGAGGCCGCCCGGGUUCGUCAAGCGGAGAGUGCCGCUCGGGAGGAGGCCGCCCGGGCUCGCCAAGCUGAGGCGAUGGCGUCUUCCGAGGCAGCUCACGACAAAGCUGCUGGCGCGUCGCUUGGGCCCACUCCCUCGGGCGACGCUCAGGCGACGGCCUCUGGGGCGGCUCGCGACGAGGCCGCGGGCGCAUCGCCUGGGCCCACUCCCUCGGGCGACGCUCAGGCGACGGCCUCCGGGGCGGCUCGCGACGAGGCCGCGGGCGCAUCGCCUAGGCCCACUUCUCCGGGCGACGCCCAGGACCAAACGGGUCCGGGGGACAUCCCCGAGCCCAGCGCCUCCUCCGGCGGGCCGAGCCGCGUCGCGUUCUCUCCAAGGCGGCUCUUCUCCUCGUCUUCUGUCGCCCCGCUGAGCGCCGAGCCCCUUCUGCAGGCCUUGGCCGCCGCAAACACUGCGGUGCUAGAUGGGUUCAGCGCCCAAGUGGAGGCCCUGCGAGCGGAACGAGCGGAGCUCGAGGCCGCAUGGGCGCGUGUCGAGGAGGGACGGCGCUCGGUGGACGUCAUGGUGGAGGUGGGCCGUAAGGCGCACCGCCGUCACGUCUCGGAGCUAGAAGCCCGCAAAGCGGCGCUGGCGGAGAUCGCCCGAGAGGUGGAGGAGGAGCGGGAGGCCACCCUCAUCGCCACCACUGCGAUGAUCGAGGCGCAGGACACCCUCCGCCUUCAACACGCGAGCUGGGAGGCGGAGCUAAAGAGAAAGCUCGACGCCGCCCAAGGGGUCCUUGACACCGCCGCUGCCCGAGAGCGGCGGGCGACGGAGACUGAAGCGGCGUCCCGGCGGCGCGAGGAGGUCCUUGAGGCCCGUGCCAUGGCACUGGAAGAACACGCCGGCGCCGUGGAGAGGGGCUUGGCGGACCGCGAGGCCGCCGUCGCCAUCCGGGAGGCAACGCUGGUGGUGCAUGAGGUCGCCUGCGCCGAAGAGGAGUCCGCGCUCCGCCUCCGCGAGGACGCACUUGCUGAGCGGGAGCGAGCUCUCGAGGAGGCCGAGGCCGCGGCGCAACGGCUGGCGGACAGUCUGUCCCUCCGCGAGGCAGCGCAGGAGGAGCAGGCGCGCCGCAAUCUGGAAUGUGUCCGCGCCGAGAGAGCCGCACUGGAGCAGCGGGCUGCUGACCUCGAGGCGCGGGAAAAAGAGCUGGCCGCGAGAGCGCCCAUCGGUGGGGCGGCUGCGGGCGAAAGCGACUUAGUCGCCCGCCUCGCAGCUGCCGAACACACCGUCGCCGACAUGCAGCGCGCCCUUGACUCAUCCGCCGGGGAGGCCGAGGCCCUCCGCUUGGCGGGCGAGAUAGGGCCUGGCACACUUUGGGAUGCGGUCUCCCGCCUAGAUCGCGCCGGUCGGCAAGCGGGCCUCUGGAAAGGCCAAACAAUGCCGCACUCCACCAAUCUGGAAGGCCUCGCUCCGCGCCUCACGAAGAUGGCCUGGGCUCUCCAACAACUCCCCGAGGAGCUCGAGAAGACCAUUAAGUCAUCCUCGAGGGACCUCGCCCAAGGAGCGGUCGAACUCGUAUUAGCGAGUUACCAGGCCAGGGACCCCAACUUCUCUCCGUGGAUGGCGCUGGAUGAGUUCCCUCCCGGGACCGAGGACGAUGCGCGCGCGCGGGUCCGGGAUGCCGCCGACCACAUCGUCAACAGCUUCGAGGGCUCGGCCCCUCGGCUCGCGUUCGCCCCCAACUCCGACGAGGAGGGCGACGCCAGCGGUGCAGACAACGAUGGCGACGAGGCCGGCGACCCGGGCGCAUCGGAAUGAGCCCCCAGGCCCCCGCCAAUCUCCAAUUUUUUCUUUUUCUUUCUUCUAAGGCCUUCAUGCCUCUUUUUUGUAUAGAUCAACUUAAUCUGGAAUCAAAAAUGAAAAAAUUCUUCGUGUCAAUUUUAUUUUGCUAUGCGUAUGAGAUGAGGAUGAUCUGUGCCGUGGUCCUCUUUUGUGUCUUAGCUUGAUUUAAGGGCUCGUGCCCAAGUCCCAGUCCUCUAAUGGCUCGGGUCGGGGCUAGUGCCUGGGGAGAUCCACAUGUUGAGGCUGGCCAGGCCGGGAACGUGGUGACCGAGGGUUAUAGGUGACCCGAUUGUGGGUUUUUGCCGAUUCCCCCCCGGAGUUCACCACGCCCCGGGGCACGGCUCAGUUCUGGGCCCCGUUUGGCGAUUUUAGCUGACCGAACCGAGCCCCCGAGGGCAAGGUUGAGCACGAGUGACCUUAUUUCAAGUCAAGAUUCUUCAAAAGGAAAAAACGGCACAGACACAACCUUUAGGAAAUUGAAACUGCUUUUUUUGAAACGCUGAAAUAAGAGAAAUAAUAAUGUGCAUGCGUGGUAGCCCCCGGCCAACCCUGCACACCCGAGGGGGGGGGUGCGGGGUUGGCCCGAGCCCGAAACCUGACACCCGACCCCUCCCUCAGGGCUAGAAGCGACGAAGGUGUUCGAUGUUCCACGGGUUAGGCAGCUCAGUGCCGUCGCCCGUGGCCAACCGUAUGGAGCCCGGCCGGGGGACACCGAUCACUCGAUACGGACCCUCCCACAUUGGUGAGAGCUUGCUCAAUCCAGCACGCGUUUGGACGCGGCGUAAGACGAGGUCGUCGACGCAGAGUGAUCGGGCCCGGACGUGGCGCUGAUGGUAGCGCCGCAGGCUCUGCUGGUAGCACGCGGCUCGGAGGGCCGCGCGCCUCCUUCGCUCUUCCAAGUAGUCGAGGUCAUCUCUGCGAAGCUGAUCUUGAUCGGCUUCGCAGUACAUGGUGGCCCGAGGAGACCUCAGGGUGAGCUCGGAUGGGAGAACCGCUUCUGCGCCGUAGACGAGGAAGAAAGGCGUUUCCCCGGUUGCUCGGCUUGGUGUGGUUCGGUUUGCCCAGAGCACCGCUGGCAACUCCUCGAUCCAUGAAUCGCCGUGCUUCUUGAGAAUAUUGAAGGUCUUGGUUUUAAGGCCUUUGAGGAUUUCUGCAUUGGCGCGCUCCACUUGGCCAUUGCUUCUGGGGUGGGCAGGUGAGGCGAAGCAGAGCUUGAUGCCCAUGUCUUCGCAGUAAUCGCCGAAGAGUUCACUAGUGAAUUGGGUGCCAUUAUCCGUAAUAAUACGGUUAGGCACUCCAAAACGGGCCGUGAUGCCUUUAAUGAAUUUAAGUGCAGAGUGCUUAUCGAUCUUGACGACCGGAUAAGCCUCGGGCCACUUAGUGAACUUGUCGAUCGCGACAUACAGAUACUCAAACCCGCCCGGGGCCCGCUUAAACGGUCCCAGGAUAUCGAGCCCCCAGACAGCAAAUGGCCACGAAAGUGGUAUGAUCUGCAGGGCCUGGGCCGGCUGAUGGAUCUGCUUGGCGUGAAACUGACACGCUCUGCAUCGCCGGACCAGAUCAACUGCAUCAUUGAGAGCUGUCGGCCAAUAGAAUCCUUGACGAAAGGCCUUGCCAACCAAGGUGCGCGAGGCGGAAUGGGCUCCGCACUCGCCUUCAUGGAUAUCGGCAAGAAGCUCAACGCCUUGUUCCUGAGGAAUGCAUUUCAGGAGGAUUCCGUUAGCCGCGCGCCGAUAGAGGGUCCCUUCUACCAGCACAUAGCGUUUGGAAAUGCGUUGGACGCGUUCACUCCCUUCGCGGUCCUCAGGUAGAGUCUUAUCUGUGAGGUAUGCUUGGAUCUCAGAGAUCCAUGCAAUCAAUCUAAGGGAGCUUGGAGCGCUCCCUUCGGGUCCCGAGGCCUGGACUCCGACGGGCCUCGGGGGCCGAUCAGGCGCAUCCGUCUCCCCUAAGGGGUCGGGUCGCGCCGACGGCUGGGUAAGCCUUUCUUCAAAGGCGCCCGGUGGGGUCUGGGCUCGCGAGGACGCGAGCCGUGAGAGUUCGUCAGCAACCAUGUUAUCCCGUCUGGGUACAUGCCGAAGCUUUAUCCCGUCAAAAUGGCGCUCCAUACGCCGCACUUGGCGUACGUAAGCGUCCAUCUGUGGGUCAGAGCACCGGUACUCCUUACAGACCUGGUUAACGACCAGCUGGGAGUCGCCUAACACCAAGAGGCGGCGGAUCCCCAGUCCAACUGCCACUCUGAGUCCGGCAAGGAGUCCCUCGUACUCUGCCAUAUUGUUGGUUGCUCGAAAGUCGAGACGGACCAAGUAUCUAAGGACGUCUCCUUUCGGAGAGGUCAACGUGACCCCCGCUCCGGCGCCCUGGAGAGACAGAGAACCGUCGAACUGCAUCACCCAGUGGGAGGUGUGAGGCAGCUGUGAGGGGUCCGUGCUGGCCUCGGGAAUUGAGACGGUCUCUGGAGCCGGGGUCCACUCUGCCACAAAAUCGGCGAGGGCUUGGCUCUUGAUAGCGUGGCGUGGUUCAAAGUGCAGAUCGAACUCAGAAAGCUCGAUUGCCCAUUUUACCACCCGUCCGGUACCCUCGCGAUUACGCAAGAUUUGACCGAGGGGGUAAGACGUAACCACAGUGACCCGAUGCGCCUGGAAAUAAUGGCGCAGUUUCCUCGAGGCCAUCAGAAUAGCGUAAAGCAUCUUCUGGGCCUGAGGGUAUCUGGUCUUGGCGUCCCGGAGGGCCUCACUAACAAAGUAGACAGGCCGCUGCACCUUUCGGCGGGGCCGAUCCUCUUCGCUAGGGGCCGUACCCCCGGGGCGUUCUUCGUCCAAGUGGCCCCUCGGGGCGCACUCGUCUUCUGUGCCGAUGACCUCGGGGUCGGAGGAUGACAGGAGCGGCCUUCCCACAGUGGCCUCGGGGCCGUCCUGGGGGUCGGGGGCUCCUGGCGUCGUCGGACAAGCGGGCAAAGGGCCAACUCCGGGCGUCAGGGGCCUCAGGCCUCCGUUCGGCUCGGGGGCCUCUUCUCCCUGCUCUCUCCCGGGUCGAGUCAGCACAGGGUUAGCCUCGGGGCCAAAGGGCGAUAGGUGCGGCCUUCCCUCAGUGGCCUCGGGGCCUUCCUGAGGGUCGGGGGCACCCAGCACCGUCUGACAAGCGGGCAGAGGGCCGACUCCGGUCGUCAGGGGCCUUAGGCCACCGUUCGACUCGGGGGCCUCUCCUCCCUGCUUGCUCCCGGGCCAAGUCGGCACAGGGUGGGGGUGCGCGGAAUGAGGAUUGUCCUCAUCGCGCUCCACAACCAACGCUGCACUAACUACUUGGGGGGUCGCCGCUAAGUAAAGUAGCAGGGGCUCAUUUGGCUCCGGGGCAACUAGAACCGGAGGAGAGCUGAGAUACGCCUUCAACUGGGCGAGGGCAUUUUCAGCUUCCUCCGUCCAAGUAAACGGCCCCGAGCGCUUGAGGAGCUUAAAUAAGGGUAGCGCCUUCUCUCCCAGCCUCGAUAUGAAACGACUUAGGGCGGCCAUGCAACCGGUGACGCACUGCACAUCCCUAAGUUUGCUGGGGGGGCGCAUCCGCUCUAUAGCUCGUAUCUUCUCGGGGUUGGCCUCGAUGCCUCGGGCAGAGACCAAGAACCCGAGAAGCUUGCCCGCAGGUACACCAAACACGCACUUAUCGGGGUUCAGUUUUAUGCGGGCGGCGCGGAGAUUUUCAAAAGUUUCCGCUAGAUCUGAGAGUAAAGUCUCUUGGUUGCGCGUCUUUACAACCAAGUCAUCAACAUAAGCCUCAACAUUACGUCCUAUUUGACUACCCAAAGAAAUUCGAGUAGUACGCUGAAAAGUAGGACCUGCAUUCUUUAACCCGAAGGGCAUUGAUGUAUAACAAUAGGUUCCUACGGGGGUAAUGAACGCAGUUUUUUCCUCAUCCUCCCUAGCCAUGCGAAUCUGAUGGUAACCAGAGUAUGCAUCUAGAAAACACAAAAGGUCGCACCCCGCAGUGGAGUCGACAAUCUGAUCUAUGCGAGGCAGGGGGUAAGGGUCCUUAGGACAUGCCUUGUUAAGGUCGGUGUAGUCGAUGCACAUCCGAAGCUUGCCGUUCGCCUUGGGAACGACCACCGGGUUCGCCAGCCACUCCGGAUGGAUGACCUCACGGAUGAAUCCGGCCUCCAGAAGUCUCGCCACCUCCUCGCGGAUGAAGGCUUGACGUUCCGGGGCCUACCGCCGCACUUUCUGCCGGACCGGCCUCGCGCCCGGCCGCACGGCGAGACGGUGCUCAAUCACCUCCCUGGGGACCCCGGGCAUAUCCGCCGGUCUCCAUGCGAAGACGUCAGCGUUUGCCCGCAGGAAGGAGACGAGCGCGUCUUCCUAUUUGCCAUCCAGAAGACCACCGAUCCGUGUGGUCUUGGAUGGACCGUCGCCCAGGGCAACCUCCUUGACCGGGACCUCGUCGCAUGUGACAAUCCGCCGCCUCGGGGCGGUGGGGGCGGAGGUGCCAAGCCUCUCGUCACCACCCUCGUGCUUGGACGCAGCAGCGAGGUGGUCCGCGCGCUGCUCCAUGCAAGCGAGCGCAACUUUGAGGUCGCCAUGGACAGAGAUGGGGCCGCCGGGGCCCGGCAUCUUCAUCUGAAGAUAGGCGUAGUGAACCGCCGCCAUGAACUUCACCAACGCGGGCCUCCCCAGGACCGCGUUGUAGGGCAGACUGAGGUCCGCCACAUCGAAGUUCACCCGCUCCGUGCGGAAGUUGGCUGAUCCACCAAAGGUGACCGGUAGGUCGAUGUGACCUAACGGCCAUGUGUGCCCCAGCGUCACACCGAUAAUCGGUUGGGACGGCUGGAGCACCAUCCCCGGGGCCUUGAUGGCAUCAUAGGCCGCGGGGGAAAGGAUGUUGAGGGCCGCUCCUCCAUCUAUGAGGACACGCCCCAACUUCACGUUGCAGAUGGUGGGGGAAACCACCAUCGCAAUCUGCCCUCCCCGGGCAACGCACGGUGGGUGGUCGGUCUGGUCAAAGGUGAGGACAACCUCCGACCACCGUGCCCGACGCGUCGCCUCAUGAGUAGGGGCCGCGGCCAGAAGCUCUCGCUUCAUAGCCUUGAAGCUCCGGCGAGAGAUGUGAGCACACGCUCCCCCAUCGACAGUGGCAAUGGUGGCCCCAGGUUCUUGGAAACCUAGGUCAUCAUCACCGUCAUCGAUGUCAACAGCGGGGGCCUUCUGUUUGGCCUCACUUCGCCGUUUGCCGGAAGGAACCGCCGGGGACUUACCUUCCCGGCGCUCCUGCCUCCUGUCCUCCUCCCACUUCCUCGUUCGCUCCGCCAAAUUUUUGACGGCGCGGCAGUCCGCGAGAUCAUGGAGGGAGGUGUUGUGGACGGAGCACCACCUACCGGCUGGGCGCUCCCUGCUGGGAGUACCAGCCUCUUUCUUUUUGUCGCUUGCAGGCCUCCCCUUUCGGGUGGCCCGCGGAGCGCCCUCGACGGCGAGGACAUGACCCUCGUCGCCGGAAUGGACCGACCUCUUCUUCCUCCUCCUGUCAUGCCGCCCUGUCUGAGCGGCGGAUCCGGGGGCGGCCGAAGCUGCCACACCGGAACCGGAGGGGUUCCAGGUCCAAGCUUCCUCCUUACGAGCCACUCGGUCCGCGAGCUGAAAAAGCUCUGCGGUAGUCUGGGGCUCUUUGGAAACGAUCUUUUCGAGCAUGCGGUUGUGCCGCACACCCCCCCUGAACGCGUAGAUCACCGCGUGUGCAGGGAUGCAUGGUAUGGUAUUGCGGACUUGGCAGAACCGCUGAAUGUACGAGCGAAGCGACUCAUCAUCCCCUCGCUGUACGGCGUGCAAGUCCGCUUCUUCGCCUGGGCGCGGAUAUGUGCCUUGAAAGUUCAUGGUGAACUGUUGGCACAAAUCUUCCCAGGAGUGGACCGACGCGGGUGGCAGGUUCAUUAGCCAACCCCGCGCCUGUCCCUUCAGGGCCAUGGGAAAGAAAUUAGCCAUAACCCUGUCGUCACCCCCAGCGGCCUCAAUCCCGGUCGUAUAGACCUGGAGAAACUCGGUGGGGUUGACGCUCCCAUCAUACUUCUCGGUGAUGGUGGGCCGGAACCUUGGGGGCCAACGGACAUUCCGAAGACUCGCCACAAAGGCUCUACAGCCGACACCACCAGCCGGGGGCACGGAGGGCUGGUCCUCACGUCCAUGUCGAGGUGACACUCUGGACGAGGAGGCACCCUCCGUUUCACGGGGAGUACGCCGGCUAUUACGCCGGCGCUCGAUGUUGAGGCGGGCAUCCGGCUCCCCAUGCUGAUCCUCCCGAGUCGAAGGUGUCGAUGAGGGAGUGGCAGCCGAAUGACGUGCAGCCGCCGCCGCUCGCCGCGCCCUCCGCCUUGAUGACACGGAACCGGUGGUGGUGGCGCCGGAGGUCUUGGUGGUGGCGGACCGUCCACCAGCACCCAGGCGCUGCUGGGCCGUCAUGACCAAGUUGGCCACGUCGUCCAGCCAUCGCUGAGCUGGAGACUCCGGGUCAUGGACGACGGGCGGGUGACGUAGGAGCGCGCCAGCAGCCUGAAGCGCGCCCUGAGGCGUGCUGCCGUCGCCGUAGACGAGGAGGCGACGCUCCCCAUCUCGCCGUUCUCCUGCAUCACCCACGACCGGUGAUGCUGCGGAUUUAUCAACCCUCUCGAGCGCCUCCCCAUGCUUAGGAUUUUGGUGUGGAGGAGGUGGGGGAGUACGAGCUCGACGGCGUGGGUUUGGCUCCCCGUCGUCGCCGCUCACACUCGGAGAGAGGUCGUGCGCCUUUGCUUGCUCGACCAUUAGGCUGAACAAGGGAAACUUGGCGCACACGGAAGAGUAUGAGAGCUCAGAAAACACACGCUGAGCCCCCUACCUGGCGCGCCAGAUGACGGAGCUCGUGGCUCCUCACCGGGAGACCGCGCAGGCCCCCCUUUGCCGGUUCGACCGGGGGCUUAGGGUGAAAUCCCAAGCUCUCGCUGUAUGUGGAAAGAUCGCGAACCCGGAAGAAACGCGAGACGCAGGAGACGUAUACAGGUUCGGGCCGCUGGGAAGCGUAAUACCCUACUCCUGUGUUUUGGUGGAUCUGUGUAUGGACAAGUUACAAAGUAUGAACCAGCCAAAAAGAUCCCCAUUCUAGGUGGGCAAGGUCCUCCUUUUAUAUCUCAAGGGGAUACCACAUGCCCCUCUCCCUUUCCAAACUGGACUGUUCUUCUCUUCAUAAAUGGACGGAGAUCGGUACGGUUGCUGUCCGAGUGCCCUUCUGACGGGACAGCCCAUACCUACCCCCGCUUCCGCCGGAAACAGGUGCAACGUGGGAUUAUGGCUGUCUGUGGAUGACGCGACCAGUGUCAGACCGGUCACAGAUUAGUCAUCCUUGUCUACCAUGCGUCAGCUUAGCAACGUGCAUGUUUGCCCUUCUUCAUGUAACAUCUUGCAUGUAAUGGUUGGGAUGAAGCCUGGUAUAAAUCUAACCAGGGCUAACGUGCCAUCUCUAAGAGAUAACACGCUAGCUCCGGCUUGAGACAAGUGCCUAGAGGCUUUCGUCUUGACGGGAUGGGGCAAGGCGUGCGUCAGACCGCCAGUCGCCACCUAACCCGUGAUCUGACCGGUCUGUGACCGGUCACAGACCGGAUAAAGGAACGCGCUGCACUGCGCUGCAUGCAGCGUGACACGCUUGACCAGACUACAAUAAAUGCGGUUAGGUGAGCACUGCCGUGUUCACCUAUCCCAUAUAUGUGGCGCAAACUUCCUCAAGGGGUCGGGGUGCCUCGGCCCUCGGGGCCGGGGCAGGAGUAACCCGACCCCCCCUCGGGAGAAAUCAGGAGGAGGGCAGACACCUCACCCUCGGGCCCGACGUCCUCGAAGGUGCCAGGCCGCGUGGGCGAUUGUGUCUGCCUCAAGCCUCUGGUCACGAUACCCCCGGUCCCAUAUCACCGACAGAGAGCAUCUUGCAUUCGAGUCGAUUUGCCCGCUCCCGCUAGGACCACUUGUGCAUCCGCUCCCCUGGUAACAUAGCCCCAUCCUCCUAUUGCCCCCUGUGGUCUAAAAGCUCCAUCUAUAUUUAGUUUCAUAGUAUCCAACGUCGGUCUCUCCCAGUGGCUUGGUCUUCUAGCCUGCUUGACAACCGCCAGCAGAUGUGCCUCUCUUCUUCCAUCCCCCUCCCUUCUCCUAUUUCUCUCAUUCCACCAAGUAUACAGCAGCAAUGAGGCCGUUAAUUUUUCAUUCUCCCCCAGUGCAGAGAGCGCUUCCACAAUCGCCCUAGCAGAAUGCAAAUUGGCUAACUCGCAUGUUAAAUCUUCCAGAUUUAACUCCCUCCAAAUUUUCUUCACUUCCUUGCACUUGAAAAAUAGGUGGCCACCAUCUUCAUCAAGCCUGUUGCAGGCAACACACUUGGUAUCCAGGUCCAACCCUCUUCUCUUCAGUGUCAUGCGCAGGGCAAUAGAAUCAUGUCCCAACCGCCACAAAAAGUGUUUAAUUUUAUUUGGGCAGUUGAACUUCCAAAGCUUCUUCCAUACUUGAUCACCGGAGGGAUCGCCCGAUGAGGUUGCCGGAGACCUGGUGUCGUUUCUUCGCUGCAUAGCCUUCUGAACCUUAUAUGCCGAUCUGACUGAAAACUGCCCCUUACUGUCAAAGUGCCACCCAACAACAUCCUUCAUAUCUGUAUGAACCGGUAUUGACAGGAUGUGUUCAACAUCUUCCUCCCAGAAGGUUUGUCUCACUAGUGGCUCAUCCCACUCCCACGUGUAAGGAUCAAUCAGCUCAUUUACUCGAGUAACCAGGUUUGUGCCCCUGCAGGUGAUUGGCUUCCUUGUCCAAUCCCUCGGUAUCCAGGGAUCAUCCCAUAUCCGGAUAUUUUCACCGUUGCCCACUCUCCAGAUCAUGCCAUCCUUCAAAAUUUGUACCCCUUUUAAAAUACUUCGCCAAGUGUAGGACAUUCCCGGUCUCGGUGAUGCCUGCAAAAUUGAUGCCCCUGGGUGAUACUUUGCUCUCAAAAUUUGCGCACACAGCGAGUUAGGUUCCUGCAACAGCUGCCAACACUGCUUUGCCAACAUUGAGAGAUUAAAAGUAUAUAUGUCUCUGAACCCCAGCCCUCCCUCUCCUUUUGGCCUUGUCAAUUUCUCCCAACUGAGCCAAUGUAUUUUAUUUUCCUUAUCCUGAUUAUUCCACCAAAACCUGGCGAUCAUGGAGCUAAUCUGGUCCGCCAAAAUUCUUCGUUAUGUCAAAGCAUGCCAUGGCGAAAAUUGGGAUGGCUUGUGCAACGGCUUUGAUCAGGAUUUCCUUUCCAGCCCGUGAUAACAUCUUUUCCUUCCAGCCCUGAAUCCGUUUCCAGAUCCUGUCCUUCAGAUAUGCAAACACCUUCAUUUUGUCUCGACCGACAUAUACCGGAAGACCCAGAUAUCUCUCAUUCAUCGUCUGGCGAUUAAUUUGUAAGGCCUGCAUGACUUCAUUUCGCUUACUGUUCGACGUGUUUGGACUGAACAUCACCACCGACUUGUCCUUAUUUAUCAUUUGCCCGGAUAACUCCUCAUAUAGAGAUAGGAUCUCUUGUAGGCACUGUGCAUCACCUUUCAUUCUUCCUUCAUUCUCUGCUUGCUUCAGUAAGGCUGAGAAACCCUCUGCACACAGUAAGAACAGAUAGGGGGAAAGGGGGUCCCCUUGGCGAAGGCCCCUGCCCGGAUGGAAAACAUCCGUCAAUUCACCAUUAACCUUGAUUCUAUACGACACCGAAGUGACACAUUGCAUGAUCAAAUUUGUCCAUCCCUCGUCAAAACCCAGCCGCAACAUCAUCUCCCUUAAGAAAUGCCAUUCGACCCGAUCGUAGGCUUUACUCAUGUCAAGUUUGAUUGCUGCAUAUCCCAACUUCCCCUUUCUCUUUUUCCUCAUGAAGUGUGUCAUCUCAUAAGCCACUAAAAUAUUAUCCGAUAUAAGCCUUCCCGGGACAAAAGCGCUCUGAGAUGGAGAAAUCGCAUCGGGCAGAAUACCUUUCAAUCUAUUUGCCAAAACCUUCGACACAAUCUUGUAUAACACAUUGCACAAACUGAUCGGCCUUAGGUCCUUGAUGUUCUCUGGCUUAUUCACCUUGGGUAUCAGCACUAUAGUUGUUUCAUUCCACUCAGUCGGCAUAGGAGCUCCCCUCAGUACUGCCAGGGUCUCUUUCACUACUUGAUCACCGACCACGUCCCAAAAUCUCUUAUAGAACAGUGAUGGCAUUCCGUCUGGCCCCGGUGCUUUCAGAUCCCCGAUAUUAUCCAGUGCCUUCUUCACUUCUUCUUCAGAGAAAUCCCUUGUUAACUCUUCAUUCAUCUCAGCAUUGAUUCGCUGGGGAACAGCCUCCAGAAUUUGCCGGGGAUCACGUACUCCAUUUGAUGAGAAGAGCUGCAUAAAAUAGUUAGUAAUAAACUGUUUUUUUUCUUCCUCCUGUUCCACCCAUCCCCCAUCAUCCUUUCUCAGCCUUCCUAUUCUAUUACUUCUGCGCCUCUCCGAACAAGCCGCAUGGAAGAAAGAGGUGUUACGAUCCCCUUGCUGCAGCCACCGGACAUGAGCCCUUUGCCUCCAGUACACAUCAAUCUGUUCCUCCAGUCUUUCCACCUUGUACCGCAACACCUCCUCCCUCGUCACUUGAUCUAUCCCUAUAUUACCUCUCCUACACUUCUCUAACUCCUUUUUUAAAUACUUCAGCCUUUUCUCCAAAUCACCAAGAUUACAAUGUUAUGUGAUAUUACUGUUCUUAUUUUCUAUCAUACUUUUACACUUUUUUAUACAAAACAUAUUAGAUUUGAGUUAUUAUAAAAACUGGUGGUGCAAAAAGUAAGCACAACCAGCGAAAAAUUUCUGGCUGCACCAACAUAAAUCAAAACAUGGCUCAUAACUAAAACGAUUUUCCAAGAAUAACAACAAAGAGGAACAUCCGUUCCUCAUUUUAUUUCUUUUUAUUAUCAUUAUCACAAACAUAGAGAAGCAGCAUCCAAACAUGAUACUGCUAGCUAGUACUAGCAAACAUCGAUAAUUAAUUAAGCAAAGGCCUAAUUAAUUAAUUAAUCACUAAUGAAAUAAUUAAUCUAAUCCAUGCCACCACCAAACAUGAGGCAGGCAAAGGAACCGGCCGUGUGCUGCAGGUUGCACCGGCCGUAGUCCGUCAGCGCGCUCGCCAUCCCGGCGAUCGUCGCGGCGUCGCACCCCGGUGCCGCGUGCUGGGAGAUCAUCCCGGAGACGCGGUCGCCCUCCUCCGUGACCACGCCGCGCACCAGCACGCUCAGCGCGUCGCACCGGCACUGCAUCGGCACGGCGGCGAGCUCCCGGCAGCACGGCUCCAGGAACUCCCGCGGCGGCUGCUUGCGGGAGUCCAUGCGGCCCCCGGCGGCGGCGCACCACCGCGCGAUGUAGUUCCGGCACGACGGGACCGGGUUCCGGGACACCGCCUUCCCCACGCGGCAGUACUCGCCGACGUCGCCGUAGCCCGACGCCGCUGCCACCACGGCGGCGAGGACGGCGAGCACGAUGGCCGAGAGGACGAGCUUGUCUGAAGCUGAUGCCAUGAAUAUGUGAGCGUUGAUUUUUGCUAAGUUAAUUUUCUUGUUGAAUGCUUGGUACUGAAACGUAUUUGAAGCAAAAGAAAAGGACGUGAAGACAAACUCUCGAUCGAUCACUUUGCACCAUUUUUAGUUAAUUACCUUGUUUUUCUUGCAAGCUUUGUUAUAAAUUAAAGCUGGAUUGCAAUGAUAUUACCUUGUUUUUCUAGCUUGCAAGCUUUGUUAUAAAUUAAAGAUGGAUUGCAAUGAUAUUACCUUGUUUUUCUUGCAAGCUUUGUUAUAAAUUAAAGCUGGAUUGCAAUGAUCUUUUAUCUAAAAAUCACUUUUCGUUUUGUCUGGCUCGCACUGGUGACAUAUAUUGUAGAGUUUUGUGAAGAAACAGAAUUUUGGAAUAGCCGAAGGAUGUGUUCGCUUCAGGUUUAUAUAUUGGAUAGUUUUAUACGUGGACAUAUUGUAGUGUUGUGAAAUGGCUAGAGUCUAGAUCUACUUAUUUGAUAUCGUAUUGGAAAAAAAAAGGUCCUGAAAAGGUGAAAAGUUACAUGAUUGUUGCUUGCUAGUCAGGUCAGCUAGUUCAUUGGAACCGAAUAAAUCGUUCACUUAAUACCAUCAAAUCACAGGAUAUUUAGUUUGAUACCACCAAUAUAUUUUUGGCUUCACGGCUCGCCCUAUUACGAUUGAAUUGCCCCAAGUUUCAUGUGCAUACUACUGCAUUCAAUUUCACAUUUGUUCAUUAUUUUUUUGCAUGUUCACGUCGUUUCAAAAGAUAUAUCAGACACAUUAAUUGUUCAUGGAAAAUACGUAUGAAAGCUUGGAGUUUAUACCCCUCACUAUCAGACUUUAGAGCAAACCCUGUGGACUAUGAUGUUUUCUGACGUACGGGAAAAAUGAAUUUUUGUGAUGGGUUUAAAUAAAUGCACAGAGAAAUGAUAUUUCGCAACCUCAUAUACAUAUUUUUAGAAUUUAAACAGAAUUUAUUUUUAUAUCUGAUCAUAAUCUAUAUACGGCUUCAUAUGCGGUUUUUAUUAGUUUUAUAAAGGAAAAUAAACAUGCAAAAAAAGAUUUUUAAAAGCUAAGUUGAACUAAUAAACCAUGUAUGGAAGUUCUUAAAUGGAACAAAAGUCACGCAAAAGCAUGACUAUGUGGCUAGUUAUAUUUGGUGGCUGGAAUAUAUUUUCAACAUCAUGAGAAUCCCAAUUGUGCAAUGAUGUUUUGACAAUAGAGAUCUUACAGUUCCUGAGAAAGCAAUAUGUUAUGUAUAAAAUUUGGUACAAAACAUCAAGGACCAUAAAAUUUCUCAUCAUAAUAACCUCACUGUCACUGAUGACCACACUGAAGUUAUCAGUACUGCAGACUGAUAUUGGCCAGCCAUAUCAAAUAAUUGCAAUGAAAGAUGUAUGUAGUUCAAGUCUUCACAUAUUCGAACAAUCCGAAGGUUGGAUGAUCAAGGUAGCCACCAAACAACAUAAGUUACAUAUAUAUUUCACAUGGGAGGAAAUCCUCCCAAACGAGCAACCUAAAUAUUGAAGUGCAGAUUCAAGGCAAUUAAAUGACUUAAAGUGUACAUGUCCAUACAUAUAUACAAACCACAGAGUGUUUAACGACCAAGGAUCCUAGCUAUUUCCAGAAUACACUCACGAGGUAUCCCUACCCCAACAUGACAAACGUAACCUGUAGGGUUGGGAGGCAGUGGGAACCCAGCUUAUACAGCACAAGUAUCAACCCUAUGGGCAUAUGGAUCCUUUGCUAGGUUGCAAUGUCAGUGAACUGCAGACGGAUCUUCUCCAUGAGUAUACCGUGCCAGGUUUACAUGCUGCCAGUCCUAGAUUGGGUAGCUUGCGACUACAUCCAUUGGGGUAGCUUACUCGUGCUCUGCCACAUGAUGAAUCUCGUGCUCGUGCUCAUGCUCACGUACAUGUCCAAUGAAGGAUCUCUAAAUGCGUGCAAGUUGGUGGUUUUCAAAACAAAUAUUUAGAGGGCCACAUCUUGUUUUGAUUCAAUAGCUUGCAUACAAGGUUGGCUUUUGGGGUAUUGUGAAACUGAAAUUCUAGGGACGUACAUGUAUGAUGAUGUUCAAAGUAAUCACUAAGAUGAUUGGCUGCUAUACCAAACAACUAUAGUUCAUAGUAAUCACUAAGAUGAUUGGUUGCUAUACCAAACAAUUAUAGUUCAUAGGAAACUGCCAUAUAUAUGAAUAGUUCACGGUGCACAAAAUAAAUCAGGUACAUACUACAAAUUCAGAGAACCGGAGCGUGACUCUUCAUGAUGUACUGAAGUGCAUGCAUUCUAUCCAUUCUUAGAAUCUUCAUUUGCAAGUUAUUUUAAUCCGCUGGACUUUAAUUCCUAAAGAAGCCUGGCUUGCACAUGGAGCCGGAUGACACAACGUUUAACCGUGCUUAUAUUUCACUGGUACAUAUCUGGGCAUUCUUGACGAGCCAUCUGUGUUGGGCUAAUGCGACUCGUUUCGGAUAACUCAUCUCAACGGUUCAAAAAGUAGCCCAUUUAAGAUAUGAAUAUACAUGAAGACCUGUCAACGAUAUAAGGUCAUCUUUGUCGGGUCGUAUUUCUAAGACGUCGCGGAUUACCUAUAACAGGUCAUAACCAUGCCCAGCCACAGAUAACAUGCCAUCCAUGGUGGGUGUAAUGAGAUGACCCAUCAAAGAUGAGAGCACUCAUCCGUGACCUAUGUCUUAAUUACCACACUUAUCCGUGAAGGGAGGUAGUUAUGAACCAUCAAUUUACAUGUUAUGUAGACCUUGAUGAGAUCUAUAACUUCAAAACUGAGAACAUUUGAAUUUGAGACAGUUUACAUGCUCGAAUAUGCAUUAUAAGUGGAGAGAUCUAUUUUGAAUAACGUAUUUUUAAUUUUUUUUAAAUGAUCUUGGAUAGAAACAUGGCCUAUGUCAAAUUCAAAGGGUUUGAUGAGAUCUACAACUUUCUAAUUGACAAUAUUUUUCAUUUAAGAUUGUUUUCAUCCCCAAAUGUGUGUUAUAAGUGAUGUGAUCUAUUUCCAAAAUAUUUUUUGAAUUUUUCAAACGAUUUUGGAUGGAGACAUACCUUAUGAUAAAGUUGUAGAGCUCUCUGAGCUGCAACUUUGUAGUUAAAAGCAUUCUCAUUUAAAGUUAUCUAGAGUUUCAAAUUUAUGUUCCAUAUUCGGACAAGAAUAGUUAAGAGAAUAGCAUCAGAUGACCUAUCAACAUGUGGUCUCCAGGUGAGAUGGUAAGGUUGGUUUGCAUGUGGUGAGAGAUCUUAGGUUCGAAUCCCACAUAUGAAAUGCAUGAAUAUUAUCACUUGAAAUUCAUGAUUUUACAAACAACUGUCACGGAUGACUCUCAAUGUGACAGGUUGUAACUAGCAUCCGUUACAUCUUUUAUUUAGGCCUGACAAAGAUGAUUGCUAUCAGAGAUGGCUGCUGACCCAACAUAGAUGAGUUUUCACAUCACUGACCAAUAAUGCGUGACGAAGCAGCUCGUCAAGACAGAUGAGGGUCCCCGCCCGACAUAGAUAACUAUAUCCGCACUUGUGCUUUGUCCCUCAGUGAGUAAAAUAUAACCUGGUGUACAAGGCUAGAACACCAAGCCUUGCCAUUAUAAGAUGAUUAUCACCAAUCUAAACUUCUGAGGUGGUAUUGAAUCACCAAGUACAACCAAUUUGAGGCCACAUAUACCAGAAUUACACCACUACUACAUGUUGCUAAAGGAUUGGGUGUUACAAUCUUCUUCUACUAGGUGAUUCCACGCGCUUUGCUGCGGGAAUUACAAAGAAAUUCUUAGUAUUUUUUUUCACAAUCAAGCUAGAAGUAAAAAGAAAAAAAUAUUUGAACAUCAGGAUUUAUCAGUCAAAUGAUACUCGUGCUUCAGUGUGAAUCAUAUUGAUAAGUAUAUGUUAAAUAUUGUAAAAGUGAUAGAUAGAUUUGUAAAAAUAUUAUGCAAACAUCACUACAAAACAUCAAAUAGGUAUCGGUACUAUAUGUGCCGUAAAUACUGAAACCGGCACCUAUAAGUCUUUUCCCACUUCUGCAGGUUGAAAUCGCAAAAAAGGGCACCUUUAAGCAAUUAUAGGUGCCGGUUCUAAAUAAGAACUGACAUCUAUUCUAUAGGUGCCGGUUUUCUUAAAAAAACGGGUGUCGAUUAAUUAAAAAUUGAUACCUAUAAUAUGUUAUUGGUGCCGGUUUUUUAUAAAAAACCAUUACCUACUAAUUGAGCCGAGCUGGCAAAUCGAUGAGCCGGUGGGCCCCACCAGCACGAGAAGAAGAUAAGGUUCAACUCGCGUCUCCUGUUCUUCUCACUCCCAUCGUCAAUCUUUUACUCGACUCGCAUCCCCUCUCCUUCCCUCCCUUCUCUCCCAUGGCCGGUGGCUGCGCCCUCCCCUCCGCCAGAUCCAGUGGAAGGGGAGGCGGCGGGCGUCUGGCCAGCGGAGGCGGAGGCGGCCGCGACCUCCCCUGCCCUUUGCUUCCUCUGCCAGAUCCCGCGGAGGGGUGGCCCUAGGGCUGUCAACGAGCCGAGCUCGAGCGAGCUUACCAGUCUUGGCAUGAGCUUGAUAAAUAGUCAAACCGAGCUCAAGCCGAGCCUCGUCAGACUUCGAGCCUCAAGACAGGCUUGAGCUCGGCUCGUUCGAGCUUCGAGCUUUUGCCGAGCUUCGAGUGUGUUAUAUAGUGGGAAGUCAAUCCUUGUCCCACGCUGUUAGAAAGCCAAUAUUUGAAGCAGUAGUACUACUAGAAUAUGCUAUAGUACAUGCUAGCAACCAUACAUUACAGUUUACAUAUGCAGCUGUUACGGGAAAUGAGUGCACUCCAUUGAUGGCGAUGCACUCUAUGCCAUGCAUGCAGCCUUUGGCCGAGUUUAGUUCCAAACUUUUUCUUCAAACUUUCAACUUUUCCAUCACAUCAAAACUUUUCUACACACAUAAACUUCCAACUUUUCCGUCACAUCGUUCCAAUUUCAACCAAACUUCCAAUUUUAGCAUGAACUAAACACACCCUUUGUUGGUAUGUGUGCUUUGGUCUGUAUGCUUGCUGCCUGAAGUUAUUGAGAGCUAGCAAGUGGAAAAGUCCCAGCUAUUCGAGCUAUUCGAGCUACUCGAAAACGUCUGAUGCAAACAAGGUAGAGGGCAUGACAGCUUGGCCAGAACCAGCCAAUGUCAGAGAACAUCGAGGAUUUUUAGAGCAAAUGUGAGUGGCUGAGCUCGUCGAGCUAUUCGAGCUCGCUCGGUGAGGCUUGCAAGCCUGGAUACAAGCUCGGGCUCGACUCAUUUAGAGUUCGAGACGAGCUCGAAUUGAGCCCAAUGUGAAUCGAGGUCGAGCAGUUUGCGAGCUCCGAGCUUUUUUGGUAACCCUAGCUAGGGGGCCCAGCGGAGGAGGCGUCAUGCGGCGGCGGAAGGGAGGGGGCGGCAGAAGGGAAGGGAGGGGGGAUGCAAAGGCAGCGAGUGGCAGGAGGGAGGCGGCUGGAGGCCGCGGAUCGAUCUCUUCCCCUCCCUUCUUGUCCCUCCCUCUUUGUGUUUUGUAUUAUUUCCUCUUCGUGAUUUGUUCAAUGUGAUCUAAAUGUGUUUAUGGAUUUGAGGCAAUUUAGUUCAUGUGUUCAUGGUUUUGAUGCAAUAUUUGGGAUCGGCUUGACGGCUUGCAUCGACUCAAGCCGAUUUUUUUUGGCUCGUGUGCGCCUCAAAGGUGCCGGUUUUAAAACCGGCACCUUUAAUCUCCUGUGAUUUGUGCCGCCUUCGUGGUCCCGGUUGGGAAAACCGGCAUCGAAAGGAGUUUCCCAACCGGCACCGAAUCCCUAUUCUGUGGUAGUGAAAUGAUAUGACGGGUGAUUAUUAGAUAUGCUUGCAUUUUGAUUUGUAUCAUUAAAUAAAUUGUACAUCAUGUUCUAUGCUUGCAUGAGAUUAUGUAAUUAUUGCUAGUGGGUGAUGAUGUGGCACGGUUGCAUGUUGAGUUUUAGAUUUAAUAGGCUUUAACUUUAUACAAAGCAUAGAUAAGUGGAGGAUUAGUACAUACUAUAGGAGUUGAUCUUUGACUGAUAAUAAAGGGCUAGCCAGACCGAACCAUCCCAAACAUGGACAAUUCCCAUAUGAGCUAACUUACAUCAGACUAUCAGAGUGCAAGUAAAUGGAACAGCAACCAUAGUGGGAGGGCAGACUGUUUCAGUGAGCGUACAUAGGAUUAGGAGGCACUAGAAACCAAACAUACACACAUUCGGAAGUGAUGGAAAUCUGAUUGAACUCACAUAUAUAGGAUCAAAUUACAUAUCCCCAUGACCACCCCUCCUCUCUAUGCAGCGACGGCGGCAGGGGUGGAGAAGGACGCCGACUGCCAUCGUGUUUUUGAUGUUCUAGAUGUUAAUGUUUUUUAUGUCCCUGAAGUUCACGUGUUCACGUGUUCUUUGACCUUGUAUGUGUUCUUUGAUUCCUGUGGGGAUGAACUGGAUCUGCUCAAUGGAUCGGCUCGAAUCGAGUUAAUACAUUGAGCCGCUUUUUUAUCUUUAGGUUACUGGAACCUCAAGGUGUCGGCUCCUAAACCGGCACCUAUGAGAAUACGUCAAAGUUCCCAACUAAUGAGCCCCGAUUGGGAAAACACCACCGGAUCUGGCGGAGGGGAGGACGCAGGCGCCAUCGCUGCCUCCCAUCUCGCCGCCUCCCCUGUGGCCAGAUUUGGUGGAGGGGAGGUCGUGGCCGCCGCCACCGCUGCCUCCACCGGACUGCCGCCGCGACAGAGAAGCGAGAGAGAGAGGGACAAAGAGAGGCGAGAGAGAGAGAGAAAGAGGGAGAGAGAGGGAGAGAAGAGAUAGGGCCGCAGAUGCGCGCGAAGUGGAUAAGGCCCGUGCUCGGCUCGGUUUGGUAUAGGUGACGAUUUUUUAAAAGAUCAUGUCGGUUUUUAACUAACCGACACUUAUAAUAUAUUAAAGUUAUCUUGUUUUAGAAAAAAAAGCACAUAUAUGUAGUAUAGGUGCAUUUUUUUUCUUUAGAACCAGCACCUAUAGUCGCUUAAGGGUGCCGGUUUUAUAUGUUUUCAGCUCAUGGGGAGAGAAAAGCACUAUAGGAGGUGUUGGUUUUAGCUUUUCCGGCACCUAUAAUUUUGAUCUCUACGUGUUUUUUUAAGUAGUGAUAAGUUAAAUCUUUAGCUACAAUUAUUCUUUAGAAUAUAGGUUUUCGGCAUAUCAAUUCAACAUAGCAUAGCUGGUUUGAAUAAAAGCUUUCACAUUAUUAAUAACUCCUUUUUGAUGUUUUUGAAAUUAAGUGCUCAAAGUUAUAUUCUUAUAUAUUGAUCUCUUGGAAAAGUCUCCAAUCGAUAUUCUUUAGUGAACAGGUUGGAGUAAAAUUGUAAUUUAUUGAAACUAGAAAUUGAUAGGUACAAAUUACUAUGUUAUGGAUCAACCUUAAGAUUCAUGGUUGCAACUUCUGUGUUUUGUAAUGGAUAAUUAAGUACCGAUUAAGUAUGCAGCCUUCACUACUAUACAAUAAUACAAAAAUAAUGGCCAUUGGAACCGACUUAUCCAUGGAUAGUUCAGACUAUGUCACUAGCGGUUUUCUUAAGGAAUCAUCUGUGAAAAAUAUUUUUUACAUGUGGAGAAUAAAUGUACCUUCAGGGCUGAGGCCACCCUGGGCUCGUCACAGCAGGGUGCACCUUUUAUUAACCUACGUAAAAGAAUUAUUACUCGGGACUAUGAAAGUAAAUUUUAUAGUAAUGCUUGUAUGUCUAAUUAUUUUUGGACCAUCUUCUUAUGAUUGAAGCAACCAGAAAAUUAAUUAGAGUUUGCCUGAUAUUUAAGCGAUCAAGUUCCGUAAAUUUUAAACUACAUUUUUGUUGGAAAUAUGGUCAUAUAUCGGCAUAUUUUAAUCCAAAAUAUUAAGACAAUAACCAUGGCAUGAACAAUGUGGGGUGAUCUAGUGAUAAAAUCUAACAUAACUAGGAGCAUGCUUAAGAUAUAAUAAGCAUCAUGAUCAUACAAUGAACGCAAUAGAAUUGCGACUAACAGAGGUAUCAAAAGAAUUAACAGUAAGCGAAGGUUAUACCCUGUGAAUAUCCCUCCGCUGGAUUGUGAGGCAGAACUGCCUCCGUUGAUGUUGUCGUUCGCAACGGCUCCGGCUCCCGGUGCGCCUCCAUCUCUAGGAGCGGCAGCUGCGGUGGCACCAGACAUGGUGUAGCAAACGACGACGACGAACAGAAGACGAGGAGCAGUCGUGCGGAAGCACUCCCCAAAAACCUGAUCACCCGCCUACCCGGUGCAGAUCUCAGGCGAAGGUGUGGUUCCGGAGGCCCUGCUCGUUCCGAUCUCUCGUGCGCGCAAGCGAUCAAAAGCGGGGAAGCAGAACCGUAGCAGCACAGCCGUGCGCAAGGAGGAUGAGGAAGAACACCAGAUGGAAAGUAAGCCCGGAAUCUUAUCGGAUUAGAUCUUUCCUUAUAACGCAGGAGCGAUAUCCGGCCGUUGCCGCAAUAACGACGUGAUCAAUUGGAAUUGAAUCGCCUGCCCGUUACGGAGGCAAUCUCGGGAUUGGUCCAUUGCAAAAGAAUAUUAAGACAAUAAUCAUGACAUGAACAAUGUGGGGUGAUCUAGUGAUAAAAUCUAACAAAACCAGGAGCAUGCUUAAAAUAUAAUAAGCAUCAUGAUCAUACAAUGAACGCAAUAGAAUUGCGACUAACAGAGGUAUCAAAAAUUGAAUUAACAGUAAGCAAAGGUUAUACCCUGUGAAUGUCCCUCCGCUGGAUUGUGAGGCAGAACUGCCUCCGUUGAUGUUUUCGUUCGCAGCGGCUCCGGCUCCUAGUGCGCCUCCAUCUCUAGGCGCGGCAGCUGCGGAGGCACCAGACAUGGUGUAGCAGACGACGACGACGAACAGAAGACGAGGAGCAGUCAUGCGGAAGCACUCCUCAAAAACCUGAUCACCCGCCUACUCGGUGCAGAUUUCAGGCGAAGCUGUGGUUCCGGAGGCCCUCCUUGUUUCAAUCUCUCAUGCUCGCAAGCGAUCAGAAGCGGGGAAGCAGAACCGUAGCAGCUGUCACGCCCGGAAUUUCUAUCCAAAAUUCCAAACGCUUACAUGUGUGUUAAACUCUCGUCCAGGAAUCAACCGAGGCACACAAUGACAAAUUGAUAAUAGAGUACAAAUAAAUAACUAUUUAAUAUUCGCAAAUAAUAAAAGAUUACAGAGGUAGAUAGUUCCUCUCAAAGAAUAACAUUUUACGCAGCGGAAAGAUAAAACUAUAACAAACUACGGAACAGCUAUGGCGACUCCACUCCACAGGCAUCUUAACCAAGAACAAGCCUAAUCCUCCAGAUCAUCACCUUCACUGAGAUACUCGUCUUCUGAUGAAUGAAUAUUACAAGAAUGAGCAUAUGACAUACUCAACAAGUCACACAGCAAAUAUGCAAGUGCACAGGAUAACAAAGGAUGGCAUAAUAUAGCUCAUUUGCAGAAACAGCAUUUAAUAAAUAUUUAAGAGAAUAGUAAAAACAGUUGAAUAAUUAAUCAAUAUUAAAUAACACCAUACAACACACCCAUGUUGCAUAGGCCCAACCACAUUUGAACAACCAACCCCAGUUGAACAAAUUAAACCUCCAAACCAGGAAUUAUCCAUUCCAAACCAGGAGCCAAAUUAAUUAUCACAUUAUUAACAUUGAUGAGUAGUGUGAGACUAAUCACGAAAAACAUUGCUCAACUCACCCAUAACCGCGGGUACGGCUAUUCGAAUAGUUUAAACUCUGAUCAGAGGUGUACCACUGUACCCACAAGACACAACCCCACAUCAUGUCACCAUGUGCCUCAAUACCACCACGGUACCUCGGAAAGGAGUUGUGACAAUACCCCUUGCACAACAUAACCCAUUACAGCGCACCUUUCCUGGAUCAUAAUCACCCCCUUAUAAACAAGGCAUGGACUCCCCAGCGACCCCCGUGGACUUCUCGCCACUUCUCAGUCUGGCGCACUAUAAUGAAUCACGCUAUACAAAAGAUAAAGCCGUUGCCCACGCUGGCUUGUGAUUGGCACGAUAAAUGUUUCACAACAGUAGCUCGCGAACCGGUCCUUAAUUGUCAUGAGCACAACCAUCAAAACCAUAUGCUCACAACCCACCUUAACCAGGCUUUAAUUAUCAAUUAAUUAACAUCACACGAUUAACCAUCGUGAGCGACCAUUAAAUAUAACCAUAAUAAUAAGAAUAAUAUAAUAUAAUUUAUAUUUAAUCCCCUUUAAUUAGCUAAUGUUUCUAAGCAUGGCUAAGCAAACCUACAUAUAACAUUUAGCUGAACCAAUCCAAUAUAUAAGGUUCAUGCUAAUCAAAUUAUGACCCAUAGGAAAAUAAAGUCAUCUUCGGCCAUUAUUUAAUUGGGAAAGGUUCACCACCCGAUGACAUUCGAAAACAAUGCAUAGUUGAAAUAAAAUAAUAGCUUUAAACGGGUUCAACAUGCUCAAAGGGUUGUUUGGGAUCUGUGUGACUUGCCUUGGGCUUCCGCAAACGCUUCGGAACCUUCCUCAACGGAAACGCUCUCCUCCGGAACGUCAGAAACUAAAGCAAUUAAACAAAAUCAACAAAACAGUACAAAAACAAGCAUAAACAGUACAUGUGGAUAUUUUUAACAUGUAGAUCUUGAUUUUAGAAAAAUUUAGCAACUUGAACCACCUGAAACGGAUCUACGGUUAUUUAGUUAUGAUUUUCCGAAGUUUUAAUCUAUUAGAAAAUCGGGAAAAAGGAAAACUGAUGACGUCAGCAUGACGUCACCUACGGAGGCCGGCUAGGGUUGGCGACCUCGCCGGAGCUAGGGUGGUCGGCCGCGGAUUUGGAGGGCAUGUACACGUAGAGGACGACGAGACGAACCCAACGGUACUCACCACAACGACAAACGACGAACGACGACGGCCGGCAACGAGAAGGGCGACGGCGGCGGCUCGGUUGACCGGCGGCGGCGAGCUACGGCGGCCGGCGGCGAAAGGGGACGGGCGGCCGAGGUUCCCCUCACCACGGCGCACCUAACGGCGGCGGCGGCAAGCGGCGGCGACGACGCAAGCGGCGGCGCGGCGGCGCCGAAGAUGACCGGCGGCGGCGGCGAGCUAGACACGCGCGGCGGCGACACUACGGAGCACGAGAGAGCUCGGGAGAUGGGGAAAACGAAAGAGGGCGACGAGGUGGUCCUAUUUAUAGCCUUGGAUUGAAGAGAUCGGACUCCUCCCGCAAGAAAUCGACUCGGGAAAAUCUAAACUCGGUUUUUGGGGAUAAAUUCGAAACGAACUCGAUUCGGAGAGAAUACUCAACGAUUUGCUCCGAAUCUUGGGGGUAAAGAUAGAGGAGAAAGUGGGGAUAAAAACCCCUCAAAAACCCGGAAGAAUCGGGGUCGGAUUGGAGCGGAUUUGGAGGCGGAAGGCGGCUCGGUCGGGCUUGGCAAGCGGCGGCCGGCCGGAGGUAGGAGAAGGGCCCGACAUGUGGGCCCCACAUGUCGGUGUCCCACGUGAGGGAGGGGUGGGCGGCUCGGCUUGAGCCGACUCGGGCAGCGCUGGGCCGGCUUGGGCCGGCUUGCCCGCGGGAGAGAGGAAAGAUGUUGGGCCAAAAACGGCCCAACGGCUUUAGGGAGGGGUUUUGGAACUUUUAAAAUUAAAAUAAUUUGUGAAAUGUUGUUUCAAUUAUUAAAAAUACUUCCCUUGCUCAAAUAAUUUCCAGAAAAAUCUAGAAAAUAGAGGAGCAAGUAUAGUAUUUAAUAAAAUUUUAUCUAGCUCAUUUUUAUGUUGAAAAUUUUCCUAGAUAAUUAGGGUUUAGUUUGUAGGCUUUUAAAAUAAUUUCUAAAAAUGAUUUAAACAAUGUAUUUUUACAUUAGGCGAUUUUUAGGGCGUGACAAACCUACCCCCCUUAAACGGAAUCUCGUCCUCGAGAUUCAGAAGAACUGGCGAACAGAUGAGGAUGAGUUGACUUCGAUUCAUCUUCUCGCUCCCAAGUGGCUUCCUCUUCUGAAUGAUUGCUCCACUGAACCUUGCAGAACCGUAUAACGUGAUUCCUGGUAUUCCUCUCACUUACUUCCAAAAUUCUGACUGGCUUCUCAACAUAAGUUAAAUCUUCUUGAAGCUCUAUACGAUCAGGAUCUGCUUCCUCCGUAGGUACACGUAAACAUUUCUUCAACUGAGACACGUGGAAUACGUCAUGUAUUCCCGCCAUUGACAGAGGCAACUCUAACUGAUAAGCUACUUCACCUUUUCGACUCACAAUCUUAAAAGGUCCCACAAAACGCGGUGCCAAUUUCCCUUUGGUCUGGAAACGAUGAACACCUCGUAACGGCGUAACCCGAAGGUAUACAUAAUCUCCUUCUUCGAAAGCCAAAUCUUCAAUGCAUGCACCACAGCUGCCAAUUCUAGGUCAUGCGUUGGGUAGUUAUUCUCAUGAGGACGUAAUUGCCUAGAUGCAUAGGCAACCACCUUUCCUUCUUGCAUCAACACACAACCCAAACCGAGUCGGGAUGCAUCACAAUACACUUGGAAACCUUUCCUCGAAUCAGGCAAAAUUAAUACAGGCGCAGUCACUAGCCUUUUCUUCAAUUCUUGGAAACUUUGUUCACAAUCCUCUGUCCACUUGUACUUCACUUCCUUCUGAAGCAGACGAGUCAUUGGUCUGGCGAUCUUUGAAAAGUUCUCAAUAAACCUGCGGUAAUACCCUGCAAGUCCAAGGAAACUACGAAUUUCGGAAACCGUCUUGGGUUGCUUCCAACUUAACACUGACUCCACAUUGCUUGGAUCUACUGCCACUCCACCAGACGAGAUGACAUGACCAAGAAACUUCACUUCGGACAACCAAAAUUCACAUUUACUGAACUUGGCAUAAAGCUGAUGCUCACGUAGUUUCUCUAAAGCUAGACGAAGAUGCUCUUCAUGUUCUUCCUUUGUCUUGGAGUAAAUAAGAAUGUCAUCAAUAAACACCACGACAAACUUAUCCAGAUAUUCCAUAAACACCUUGUUCAUCAGAUUCAUGAAAAAGGCUGGGGCAUUAGUGAGUCCAAAUGACAUAACGGUACAUUCGAACAAACCAUACCGAGUUGUGAAGGCGGUCUUUGGUAUAUCUUCCUCACGGAUUCGAAGUUAAUAAUAUCCAGAACGGAGAUCUAUCUUGGAGAAAACUGUAGCACCUUCCAGUUGAUCAAACAGGUCAUCAAUUCUGGGUAGAGGAUACUUAUUCUUGAUAGUAACCUCAUUCAACGCUCGAUAAUCCACGCACAUUCUCUAAGUAUGAUCUUUCUUCUCCACAAAGAUGACUGGUGCUCCCCAUGGCGAAGUACUGGGUCUGAUGUAUCCUUUCUGAAGCAAAUCAUCCACCUGUCUCUUCACCUCAGCUAACUCAUUAGCUGCCAUUCUGUACGGUCUCUUAUGGAUAGGGUUGGUUCCAGGUACCAAGUCUAUCCGAAACUCUAUGUCUCUCUUAGGUGGCAUACCUGGCAAAUCCUCGGGAAACACGUCUGGGUAGUCUUGUACUAUGGGGAUCUCUUGUAGAGCAACUUGGUUUAAGAUCACACCAUGAGAUUUAGGAGAGGACACAAAGAAAGAAACUGUUUCCCCAUUGCUAUUGGUUAAAGUCACCUUACGGUUGGCACAAUCUAUAACUCCUCUGUGACGAGAUAACCAGUCCAUCCCUAAGAUAACAUCUAGAUCUUUGGAUUCUAGCAAGAUAAGCGAGGAUGGGAAAGGAACUUCUUCUAUUUCUAUAGUAGCGGAAGGACAAUACUGUGUCGAAAAUACUUGAUUGCCUGGGGUAUUAACUAGUAAAGGUCUCCCAAGACUAAUAACUUCCAUCCCAUGAUUGCUCGCAAAACUUUUAGACAAAAAAGAAUGCGUAGCACCGGAAUCAAAAAGCACAGAUGCGGGUAUAGAGUUAACAGGAAACGUACCCAAAACCACAUCUGGUGCAUUCUGAGCUUCUGCUGCUGCAACAUGAUUAACACGUGCCUUUGGUGCUGGAGCAUUGGAGUUAUUCGGGGCUGGAGCGUUCUUCACGCGCCGAGGCUUAGGACACUUAUCAGCAUAAUGUCCUGGAUCACCACAAUUGAAGCACACCCCUGGCUUGCUUCCCUGUUCCUUCCUGACGGGCUGGUUCUGAGCUGGAGUUGCUGCAGGACGAGCAACCAUGUUGCGGUUGUCAUUACCACGAUUACCAGUAUUGUUGUUGUAGAACUGGCGUUGGGGGCGGACAACUGAUGAAGAUCCUCCUUGAGGGUACGAUGGAGCUUGAGGUCCCGUAACGAGACGCGGCCUCUGGUUACUGCCCUGUUGUGCCUUGAAUUGGGCAGCCCUGCGCUUCUUCUGCUCCAUCCGGUUAUACUUGUCUUCCUGACGAAUCGCCUUGUCCACCAACUGCUGGAAAUCCCGGAAAUCCGUAGACAUCAAGGCAUAAGACAACUCAUCAUUCAGUCCCUCCAAGAACUUCUCCUGACGCUCUUCAUCGGUGCGAACAUCUUCCGGAGCAUAACGAGCUAAACGGUUGAAAUCAUGGAGGUACUCGGUGACCGAACGAGAUCCUUGGUUGAGUGCUCUAAAUUCUCUCUUCUUUAGAGCUACAACACCCGUUGGUAUAUGUGUCUUUUUGAAAGCGGCCGUGAAUUCCUGCCACGUAAUAGGCUCUCCUUCAGCCCUGCCUUGGCGAAAAUGAUCCCACCAUUCAGCAGCAGGUCCAUGCAGUUGAUGCGAAGCAAAAGAAACUUUCUCCUGCUCAGUACACUGGAUCAAGUCCAACUUCUUCUCCACCGCAUGCAGCCAAUCUCCUGCUUCUACUGGAUUGGUAGUGCUUGAAAAGGUAGGGGGUCUCACACGUAAGAAAUCUGCCAGCUUGUUUUGGGGAGGUGGGGGUGGAUUCUGGUUCUGAUUGUUUGCCUGCUGAUUCUGUGCCUGCUGCACUAACAGAUUGAUCAGCUGUGUUUGUUGGGCCAGAAUCUGAGCUAGCGUGGGAUCUCCUCCAUUGUUAGUAGCUCCACUUCCACUUCCACUUCCACUUCCAGUGCGCGUGUUCACCAUCUGACGAUAAGCAGAGACAACAGGAAAGAACGACAGAGAGACACCCUUAGAACGGAGUUAUUUAAUUAAUUUAAAUUCUAUAUUGCUCUUAACUGUGUAUGAUUACAUUUAAGUUGCAUUAACACUGUCUCACCAACUAUCUUACACUCUGACAAGCAAAAGAACUAGACUCAUGCUGUUACAUCCCACCAAUGAUGUAAGCAACAAGUAAAACCCACACACUCACAAGCAAACUUAAACAAACAAUCUAAUCACAGUGAACUACGGCAACGAUCUAACUAAGCGACUAAUCCCGCCUUGCGUCGGAACGAAGCGAUGGAUCUUCUUCCUCUGGAGUAGCUGGCUCUCUUUCUUCAGGGUCUUCCUCCUCUUCCUCAUCACUUAUGAUGUCGAUGACAGGUUCAGCACGAUCGGGCACAGCUUCACCCAUCACGCGAAUCUUCGAAGCUAACUGGAGACGAGGUGGCGGACAGGUUCUCUUUCUUGCAGUGAGGCGAAGCUUGGGUGUUGGCGGCGGCGUUUCUCCUUUAAGUUCAGCUAAUUCCUUCUGUAGACGGUACACCUUGCUCUCCAACUUGCAAAUCUUGCCUCGAUUCCAGUUUUCCCUGUCAUGAGCUGCUUUGGCUCGCUCCACACUUACUGCAUCCAUAGCACUAAGCAUAUGCACCGCAUGCAUCAGAGUGGCACUCUCUUCACCAUCAGGACAGGUAUAGGUUCCAUAGUCUUGACCAUGAGGCUUGUGAGGAUGAUACUGGAAAGCUGAUGAAUCCAACUCUUCUUAUUUAUUUCUUCUGAUUAUUAUUAUCAUCACAUUCACGGAGAAAGCAGCAUCCAAACAUGAUAGAUGCUACUAGCAAAUAUCGAUAAUUAAUUAUCCAGUAACCCGGAUAACUAAUUAAAUAAUUAAUUAAGCAAAGGCCUAAUUAAUUAAUUACUAAGGAAGUUAAUCCAUGCCACCCCCAAACAUGGGGCAGCCAAAGAAACCAGUGUGCUGCAGGUUGCACCGGCCGUAGUCCGUCAGCGCGCUCGCCAUCCCGGCGAUCGUCGCGGCGUCGCACCCGGGCGCCGCGUGCUGCGAGAUCAUCCCGGCGACGCGGUCGCCCUCCUCCGUGACCACGCCACGCACCAGCACGCUCAACGCGUCGCACCGGCACUGCAUCGGCACUGCGGCGAGCUCCCGGCAGCACGGCUCCAGGAGCUGCCGCGGCGGCUGCUUGCCGGAGUCCAGGCGGCCCCCGGCGACGGCGCACCACCGCGCGAUGUAGUUCCGGCACGAUGGGACCGGGUUCCGGGACACCGCCUUCCCCACGCGGCAGUACUCGCCGACGUCGCCGUAGCCGCCGUAGCCCGCCGCCGCUGCCGCGACGGUGAGGACGGCGAGCACGAUGGCGGAGAGGACGAACUUGUCUGAUGCCAAUGCCAUAGCUAUACUUCGAUGAGCUUUGAUUUGCUUGUAAUUUAGAAAAUUUAAUUUUGUUCUUGAUCACUUGGGAUUGGGAGUGCAACGUAUUUGAAGUAUGAGAAAGGACGUGAAGACAAACUCUCGAUCGAUCACUUGUACCAUUUUUAUUGAUUACCUUGGUUUUCUUGCAAGCAUUCUGAUAGAUUAAAGGUGGAUUGUGAUGAUCUUUUAUCUAAAAGUUACAUUUCUUUUUCUCUGGCUCGCACUGGUGACACAGAUCGAGCUCACUGGAUAUUGUGGAGUUUUGUGAGCUUUGAAGAAACAGAAUUUGGAAAAGCCGAUGGAUGUUUUUGCUUCUGGUUUACACAUAGGAUAAUUUGAUACUUUCACAUUUAUGAUUGUAGAGACUCAUUUGAUAUCGUGUUAGAAAAAAAAAGUUCCGAAAAGGUACAAAGUGGUUGUUGCUUGCAAGUCAGGUUAGUUAGUUCAUUGGAAAGGAAAAAAGAAUCGUUCAAUUAAUACCAUCAAAAUACAGGAAGUUUAGUUUAUACCACCCAACAUUUUUGGCUUCACUCCUCACUUUAUUACCGUCGAAUUUCUCCAUGGUUCAAGAACAUACCACUGCCUUCAAUUUCUCCAUUGUUUUGUCCUAUUUCACCCUUCUCUUAGGAACUGAAUUGCAUCGUAAUACCCCUGCUCUGCUAGCAUACGAAUUAUAUAUAUAUCCUACCACAAUUGUAUAAUAGUCCCCCAAAAGACCUUGCCUCUUCGUCUCAUGCUCAUCUGAUUCAGCUUCUGCACGAUAGGCUAAUCUAAGUUAUGUUGAUGGACAACUACCUCACCAUUACGUGUUAGGGUUAGGAUGCAUCGGAAACGAACAUAGAUGUUCGUCCAGUGUUUGCGCAUUAAUCAAGAUAAACUUCGCUUGCAACAUCACAAGGAGGUGGAGAUGAGGAUAUAGCCAGAGCCGUUGCACGAAACACAAACCAUCAGUGUCAGAGUAUGUAGCCAAUGUAAGAGGUCGGUCAUGAUUCUUGAAGCCCUGCGGUACUUCCUAUUGAAAGAGAUGGAGGCGGUAUGUAUAGCUGAUUGAUCCGUUUGUUGCCAUAGGAGCAAACUUCUCUUUAUCCCCCUUGACUCUUCAAACACCUUUGAUAAGGUCUUUGCUAGAAGACUAGAGCACUAGACAAAAAAACAAUGGGAUUCACAUGUUCUUGGUAGUUUGGCCAAUUUGGUGUCUUCUCGGCAUAGCAUGGGCGACCUUCGGCAUUGAAAAUACUUUCUUGGUGCUUGCAGCAGAAGAGGAUCCGUGCAUGUAGGUGGCAGUGCUGGAUGUUUCCACCGAGUUGCGGAGCAUUCGCAUGGGCAGAGUCACAACUGCCUAACUAGGUGGCAAGCUCAGCAACAAUAACCACCUACUUAUGCUAUGGCAGCAUGGUUUCAUGUGGUUGGAGAAGCGGUGUAGGCUCUAUGUUGCCGUGUCAUUUUUUGAGUGGGAGCUGUUGUGCCGUGUGGUGAUUCACACCCAGAAAUUUUUCCUUUUUUCAGACCAAUUUGUGUAUUAAAUCCUUGUUUAGGAAUCAACACAAGGUACAUCAAAUGACAUGUUAUUGUACAUAUCCAAACAUAAAUAAAGCAUAAAUAUUUACAAAAGUGACAAUUAGUCCUCAUACCGAAAAGAAUGCAACGGCGGAAAAGGACUAUCCUAGUGGGUGUUUAGCUUCAGUCCACAGGAGUACUCAACUAGGGUACAACGCUUGAUAUUUUAACUCCGUCUUCAUCACAGAGGCACUAAAAAUUUGAGAAUAGAAAAUUAGGCAAGGCUAAGUACCAACCACUGUACUCAGCAAGCAACACCAAUGAUGUAAUUGUGCAAGGGGAAACAAAGAUAGUAGUCUUUUGUAUCAUGAUCUACUCUUUUGGAUAAAGACAAUUGUAAAUAUUUGUAGUUAAAAAUAGUAAAAUAUUUGAUUAAUUAAGAAAAGAUUAGUCUCCACUUAACAACGGUACAACACAUUGAACAAGCCCAACCAACCACCUCCUCAUAACCCUUCCCUAACCAUUGACACCCCACACUGCAUGUUUCGCCACCAUCCCUAAAAUCAGGAUGGACAACCCCUUCAUUAUGCCACGGUUAAUCUGGAAGCUGCUUAGACCAUCCUGUUCAACCAAACUCCUUCACGGCCACACUCGCUUGUAUACCUAUGAAAGGGGAGAGCUAUACUAAAAGGUUAGCAAUUACACCUAUUGGUUUGUGGUAAGUACGGUAAGUCUUUCAGAGAUUCCCGCAAAAAGGUCCAUCAUUAUCAUGGGUGCGAAAAAUUAAAACCAUGCAUCCAUAGUCUAUCAUUAAGACAUAUUUUAGUUGGACAAAUUAGGACCAACAAAUAAUGGUACAAUAUCUCGAGCUUGAAUUAAGCUCGUCAAUAUACAAAUUAUGAGUAAAGUGAUUAUCCCAUUAGAUGAACUAAGUAUGGCUAAGCAUAGCUUGGUCAACAUAAUUAACCCAAGCUGAUAAAAUUAUUAUACCCAAGGAUUGAUAAGGAGUGGAUACCAAGUAAAUUGGCGUUAAGCAAGUGGAUUUAGUAAUCCCGUAUCCCACGUAAUUAGCAAUAUAUAUAUAUAUAUAUAUUAUUUCUAAAUGGCAACCAUUUCAUAAAGUAGGUUAAACAUAUUCAAGCAGGGAACGUGUGACUCACCUUGCUUCUUCAAUUAAUCUAGCUUCCAUAUGCUUUUUCCUUGCGGUCGCAGUCCUCCAGAUUGGCUAAAUUUAGAGUUCAUAUAAAUUAGUUACGAAGUUUUAGAAGUUUUAAGCCAUUUAAAUCAACUACUGAAAUUAUAUUCGAUUUACGUCAACAGUAGGGACGGCGCCGACCAGAACACGGCCUUCCCCACGCGGCACUACUCGCCGACGUCGCCUUAGCCACCAUCACGGCGGCGAGUUCGAUCGAACAGCAUGAUUGCCGAGAAGACAAGCUUGUCUAAUGCUAAUGUGAUCACUAGUUGACUUGAUGAGCUUUGGUUAGCUAAUUAAGAUUAAUUUUGUUCGUGAUGACUUGAUAUUGCAACGUAUUUGAAGCAAGAGGAAGGACGUCAAGACAAAUUCGACCGAUCACUUGUGACAAAUUCAAUGAAUUAUCAUGUUUUUCUUGCAAGCUUUGUUAUAAGUUAAAGCUGCAGGAUAUUGUGAUGAUCUUUUAUCUGAAAAGUACAUUUCUUUUUCUGUGGCUCGCACUUGUGACACAGAUUGAGCUCACCACACAUUGUAGAGUUUUGUAGCUUUCGAAAAAAAAAGUGAAAAACAGAAUUCGGAAGGUCCGAUGGAUGUGUUGCUUUCUGGCUUAGGCCAUUCCCAACCUAAUAACUAAGAUGGUG
rnacentral:lncRNA from 1 species